UGUCUGUAUCUUCCAUGCUAGGCGGGUUAUUCUCAAGAGGAGUGGACUCCGCUCCUCACUCACGAGAAAAUGGCUGGUCACCGGGAUGCCCAGUCCCAUGCUCAAAUCAAAUCAAAAUAAUUGCAAACAAAACUCCCCCAGGAUUGUUGUUAGUUGGACGGUACCCGUUGUUUCGGACCAGCCGUGGAGUGUGCUUGUUGGUGGUGGGGGAGUAUAAACUUUACCAUUCUGUUUGGGAACCGCCUAUAAUGUGUGUAGCAUGGAAGAUAUCGAGAUCUCUUGGUUGUUAUGUUGACAAUGAAAGUAUACCACUCAAAAUAUUAUUUAUCUCUAUUUCAAAACCGAGCUCUGACACCUCUACAAAUCCCCGCUUCCCUCUGCGAAGGGCCUAUCUAUUUACUUUUAUGCAAAGCACCAGUUGGAGAGCAUCGCUAUCAUUUGCAUCCAUUACUAUUAAUUUAUAUUGAGUAUGACUAUGACUAGAUCUCUUUUACCAUGAAUUACAAUGUCUAGUCAGUCCUUGAUCUUCAGAGGUGCUCUGCAUUAAUGUAUUGGCGGUCUCAGAAAGGGCUAGCGAAAUACCAUCUUGUUAUAUCAUAUUAUGAUUGUUUUGAGAAAGUGUUGUCAUCCGAGAUUUAUUAUUAUUGCUCGCUAGUUGAUUAUGUCAUUGAUAUGGGUAAACAUGAGACCUAAAUGUUAUUGUGAAUAUGGUUAGUUCAUAAUCUUUGCUGAAAACAUGAAUGCUGGCUUUACAUAUUUACAACAACAAGAGCAAACAGAGUUUGUAAAAGUUUUUCUUUAUCACUUUCAGUUUGUCAACUGAAUUGCUUGAGGACAAGCAAAGGUUUAAGCUUGGGGGAGUUCAUACGUCUCCGUCGUAUCUACUUUUCCAAACACUUUUGCCCUUGUUUUGGACUCUAACUUGCAUGAUUUGAAUGGAACUAACCCGGACUGACAUUGUUUUCAGCAGAAUUGCCAUGGUGUUAUUUUUGUGCGGAAAUAAAAGUUCUCGGAAUGACCUGAAACUUCAUGGAGAUUAUUUUUGGAAUUAAUAAAAAAUAUUGGCGAAAGAAUCAAGGCCAUGGGGCCCACACCCUGUCCAUGAGGAUGGGGGGCGCGCCUACACCCCUGGGCGUGCCCCCUGCCUCGUGGGCCCCCUGGUGCUCCACCGACCUCAACUCCAACUCCAUAUAUUCACGUUCAGGGAGAAAAAAAUCAGAGAGAAGGAUUCAUCGUGUUUUACGAUAUGGAGCCGCUGCCAAGCCCUAGACUCUCUCGGGAGGGCUGAUUUGGAGUCCGUUCGGUGCUCCGGAGAGGGGAAUCCGUUGCCAUCGUCAUCAUCAACCAUCCUCCAUCACCAAUUUCAUGAUGCUCACCGCCGUCGUGAGUAAUUCCAUCGUACGCUUGCUGGAUGGUGAUGGGUUGGAUGAGAUUUAUCAUGUAAUCGAGUUAGUUUUGUUAGGGUUUGAUCCCUAGUAUCCAUUAUGUUCUGAGAUUGAUGUUGCUAUGACUUUGCUAUACUUAAUGCUUGUCACUAGGGCCCGAGUGCCAUGAUUUCUGAUCUGAACCUAUUAUGUUUUCAUGAAUAUAUGUGAGUUCUUGAUCCUAUCUUGCAAGUCUAUAGUCACCUACUAUGUGUUAUGAUCUGGCAACCCUGAAGUGACAAUAAUCGGGACCACUCCCGGUGAUGACCGUAGUUUGAGGAGUUCAUGUAUUCACUAAGUGUUAAUGCUUUGGUCCGAUACUCUAUUAAAAGGAGGCCUUAAUAUCCCUUAGUUUCCAAUAGGACCCCGUUGCCACGGGAGGGUAGGACAAAAGAUGUCAUGCAAGUUCUUUUCUAUAAGGACGUAUGACUAUAUUCGGAAUACAUGCCUACAUUACAUUGAUGAAUUGGAGCUAGUUCUGUGUCACCCUAUGUUAUAACUGUUGCAUGAAUAAUCGCAUCCGACAUAAUUCUCCAUCACCGAUCCAAUGCCUACGAGAUUUUCACAUAUUGCUCUUUUCUUAGUUACUUUGUCGUUGCCACUUUUACAAUUACUACAAAACUGCUAUUGUUACCUUUGCCACUGUCACCGUUACUUCCAUACUACUUUGCUACUAAAUACUUUGCUGCAGAUAUUAAGUUAUCCAAGUGUGGUUGAAUUGACAACUCAACUGCUAAUACUUGAGAAUAUUCUUUGGCUCCCCUUGUGUCGAAUCAAUAAAUUUGGGUUGAAUACUCUACCCUCGAAAACUGUUGCGAUCCCCUAUACUUGUGGGUUAUCACUUACCAGCAUGUCAUACUAUGAUUCGGCGGUAUUGUUCGAUGAAGCGGCCCGAACCGACAUUACGCGUACGCUUACGCGAGACUGGUUCUACCGACGUGCUUCGCACACAGGUGGCUGGCGGGUGUCAGUUUCUCCAACUUCAGUUGAAUCGAGUGUGGCUACGCCCGAUCCUUGUUGAAGGUUAAAAUAGCACACUUGACGAAAAAUCGUUGUGGUUUUGAUACGUAGGAAAGAACGGUUCUUGCUCAGCCCGUAGCAGCCACGUAAAAACUUGCAACAACAAAGUAGAGGACGUCUAACUUGCUUUUGCAGGGCAUGUUGUGAUGUGAUAUGGUCAAGACAUGAUGCUAAAUUUUAUUGUAUGAGAUGAUCAUGUUUUGUAACAGAGUUAUCGGCAAGUGGAAGGAGCCAUAUGGUUGUCGCUUUAUUGUAUGAUAUGCAAUCGCCAUGUAAUUGCUUUACUUUAUCGCUAAGCGGUAGCGAUAGUCGUAGAAGCAAUAGUUGGCGAGACGACAACGAUGCUUCGAUGGAGAUCAAGGUGUCAAGCCGGUGACGAUGGUGAUCAUGACGGUGCUUUGGAGAUGGAGAUCAAAGGCACAAGAUGAUGAUGGCCAUAUCAUAUCACUUAUAUUGAUUGCAUGUGAUGUUUAUCCUUUAUGCAUCUUAUUUUGCUUAGCUCGGCGGUAGCAUUAUAAGAUGAUCUCUCACUAAAUUUCAAGGUACAAGUGUUCUCCCUGAGUAUGCACCGUUACGAAAGUUCGUUGUGCCGAGACACCACAUGAUGAUCGGGUGUGAUAAGCUCUACGUUCACAUACAACGGGUGCAAGCCAGUUUUGCACACGUAGAAUAUUCGGGCUAAACUUGACGAGCCUAGCAUAUGCAGAUAUGGCCUCGGAACACUGAGACCGAAAGGCCGAGCGUGAAUCAUAUAAUAGAUAUGAUCAACAUAGUGAUGUUGACCAUUGAAAACUACUCCAUCUCACGUGAUGAUCGGACAUGGUUUAGUUGAUUUGGAUAACGUGAUCACUUAGAUGAUUAGAGGGAUGUCUAUCUAAGUGGGAGUUCUUAAGUAAUAUGAUUAAUUGAACUUUAAUUUAUCAUGAACUUAGUACCUGAUAGUAUUUUGCAUGUCUAUGUUGUUGUACAUAGAUGGCCCGUGCUGUUGUUCUGUUGAAUUUUAAUGCAUUCCUAGAGAAAGCUAAGUUGAAAGAUGAUGGUAGCAACUACACGGACUGGGUCUGUAACUUGAGGAUUAUCCUCAUUGCUGCACAGAAGAAUUACGUCCUGGAAGCAUCGCUUGGUGCCAAACCCGCAGCAGGAGCAACGCCAGAUGUUAUGAACUUUCUGGCAGAGCAAAGCUGAUGACUACUCGAUAGUUCAGUGUGCCAUGCUUUACAGCUUAGAACCGGGACUUCAACGACAUUUUGAACGUCAAGGAGCAUAUGAGAUGUUCCAGGAGUUGAAGUUAAUAUUUCAACCAAAUGCCCGGAUUGAGAGAUAUGAAGUCUCCAAUAAAUUCUACAGGUGCAAAAUGGAGGAGAAUAGUUCUGUUAGUGAGCAUAUACUCAAAAUGUCUGGGUAUAACAAUCACUUGAUUCAACUGGGAGUUAAUCUUCCUGAUGAUAGUGUCAUUGACAGAAUUCUUCAAUCACAGCCACCAAGCUACAGGAGCUUCGUGAUGAACUAUAAUAUGCAAGGGAUGGAUAAGACAAUUCCCGAGCUCUUCGCAAUGCUAAAGGCUACGGAGGUAGAAAUCAAUAAAUAGCAUCAAGUGUUGAUGGUCAACAAAACCACCAGUUUCAAGAAAAAGGGUAAAGGGAAGAAGGGGAACUUCAAGAAGAACGGCAAGCAAGUUGCUGCUCAAGUGAAGAAACCCAAGUCUGGACCUAAGCCUGAGACUGAGUGCUUCUACUGCAAAGGGACUGGUCACUGUAAGCGGAACUGCCCCAAAUAUUUGGCGGAUAAGAAGGAUGGCAAGGUGAACAAAGGUAUAUGUGAUAUACAUGUUAUUGAUGUGUACCUUACUAAUGCUCGUAGUAGUGCCUGGGUAUUUGAUAUUGGUUCUGUUGCUAAUAUUUGGAACUCGAAACAGGGACUACGGAUUAAGCGAAGAUUGGCUAAGGACGAGGUGACGAUGCGCGUGGGAAAUGGUUCCAAAGUCGAUGUGAUCGCCGUCGGCACACUACCUCUACAUCUACCUUCGGGAUUAGUUUUAGACCUGAAUAAUUGUUAUUUGGUGCCAGCGUUAAGCAUGAACAUUAUAUCUGGAUCUUGUUUGAUGCGAGACGGUUAUUCAUUCAAAUCAGAGAAUAAUGGUUGUUCUAUUUAUAUGAGUAAUAUCUUUUAUGGUCAUGCAGCCUUGAAGAGUGGUCUAUUUUUGUUGAAUCUCGAUAGUAGUGACACACAUAUUCAUAAUAUUGAAGCCAAAAGAUGCAGAGUUGAUAAUGAUAGUGCAACUUAUUUGUGGCACUGCCGUUUAGGUCAUAUUGGUGUAAAGCACAUGAAGAAACUCCAUUCUGAUGGACUUUUGGAAUCACUUGAUUAUGAAUCACUUGGUACUUGCAAACCAUGCCUCAUGGGCAAGAUGACUAAAACUCCGUUCUCCGGAACAAUGGAGCGAGCAACAGAUUUGUUGGAAAUCAUACAUGCUGAUGUAUGUGGUCCGAUGAAUAUUCAGGCUCCGGCGGGUAUCGUUAUUUUCUCACCUUCACAGAUGAUUUGAGCAGAUAUGGGUAUAUCUACUUAAUGAAACAUAAGUCUGAAACAUUUGAAAAGUUCAAAGAAUUUCAGAGUGAAGUGGAAAAUCAUCGUAACAAGAAAAUAAAGUUUCUACGAUCUGAUCGUGGAGGAGAAUAUUUGAGUUACGAGUUUGGUCUUCAUUUGAAACAAUGUGGAAUAGUUUCGCAACUCACGCCACCCGGAACACCACAGUGUAAUGGUGUGUCCGAACGUCGUAAUCGUACUUUACUAGAUAUGGUGCGAUCUAUGAUGUCUCUUACUAAUUUACCACUUUCGUAUUGGGGUUAUGCUUUAGAGAUGGCUGCACUCACGUUAAAUAGGGCACCAUCUAAAUCCAUUGAGACGACACCUUAUGAACUGUGGUUUGGCAAGAAACCCAAAUUGUCGUUUCUUAAAGUUUGGGGCUGCGAUGCUUAUGUGAAAAGGCUUCAACCUGAUAAGCUCGAACCCAAAUCGGAGAAAUGUGUCUUCAUAGGAUACCCAAAGGAGACUGUUGGGUACACCUUCUAUCACAGAUCGGAAGGCAAGACAUUUGUUGCUAAGAAUGGAUCCUUUCCAGAGAAGGAGUUUCUCUCGAAAGAAGUGAGUGGGCGGAAAGUAGAACUUGAUGAGGUAACUGUACCUGCUCCCUUAUUGGAAAAUAGUUCAUCACAGAAAUCAGUUCCUGUGAUUCCUACACCAAUUAGUGAGGAAGCUAAUGAUGAUGAUCAUAUAACUUUAGAUCAAGUUACUACGGAACCUCGUAGGUCAAGCAGAGUAAGAUCCGCACCAGAGUGGUACGGUAAUCUUGUUCUGGAGGUCAUGUUACUUGACCAUGACGAACCUACGAACUAUGAGGAAGCGAUGAUGAGUCCAGAUUCCGCAAAAUGGCUUGAGGCCAUGAAAUCUGAGAUGGGAUCCAUGUAUGAGAAUAAAGUGUGGACUUUGGUUGACUUGCCCGAUGAUCGGCAAGCCAUCGAGAAUAAAUGGAUCUUCAAGAAGAGAUUAACGCUGAUGGUAAUGUUACUGUCUACAAAGCUCGACUUGUUGCGAAAGGUUUUUGACAAGUUCAAGGAGUUGAAUACGAUGAGACUUUCUCACCCGUAGCGAUGCUUAAGUCCGUCCGAAUCAUGUUAGCAAUUGCUGCAUUUUAUGAUUAUGAAAUUUGGUAAAUGGGUGUAAAGACUGCAUUCCUGAAUGGAUUUCUGGAAGAAGAGUUGUAUAUGAUGCAACCUGAAGGUUUUAUCAAUCCAAAGGAUGCUAACAAAGUGUGCAAGCUCCAGCGAUCCAUUUAUGGACUGGUGCAAGCAUCUCGGAGUUGGAGUAAAUGUUUUGAUAGUGUGAUAAAAGCAUAUGGUUUUAUACAGACUUUCGGAGAAGCCUGUAUUUACAAGAAAGUGGGUGGGAGCUCUGUAACAUUUCUAAUAUUAUAUGUGGAUGACAUAUUGUUGAUUGGAAAUGAUAUAGAAUUUCUGGAUAGCAUAAAAGGAUACUUGAACAAGAGUUUUUCAAUGAAAGACCUCGGUGAAGCUGCUUAUAUAUUGGGCAUCAAGAUCUAUAGAGAUAGAUCAAGACGCUUAAUUGGACUUUCACAAAGCACAUACCUUGAUAAAGUUUUGAAGAAGUUCAAAAUGGAUCAAGCAAAGUAAGGGUUCUUGCCUUUGUUACAAAGUGUGAAGUUGAGUCAGACUCAAUGCCCGACCACUGCAGAAGAUAGAGAGAAAAUGAAAGUCAUUCCCUAUGCUUCAGCCAUAGGUUCUAUCAUGUAUGCAAUGUUGUGUACCAGACCUGAUGCGUGCCUUGCUAUCAGUUUAGCAGGGAGGUACCAAAGUAAUCCAGGAGUGGAUCACUGGACAGCGGUCAAGAACAUCCUGAAAUACCUGAAAAGGACUAAGGAUAUGUUUCUUGUUUAUGGAGGUGACAAAUAGCUCGUCAUAAAUGGUUACGUCGAUGCAAGCUUUGACACUGAUCCGGAUGACUCUAAGUCACAAACCGGAUACGUGUUUAUAUUGAACGGUGGAGCUGUCAGUUGGUGUAGUUCUAAGCAAAGCGUCAUGGCGGGAUCUACGUGUGAAGCGGAGUACAUAGCUGCUUCGGAAGCAGCAAAUGAGGGAGUCUGGAUGAAGGAGUUCAUAUCCAAUCUAGGUGUCAUACCUAGUGCAUCGGGUCCAAUGAAAAUCUUUUGUGACAAUACUGGUGCAAUUGCCUUGGCAAAGGAAUCCAGAUUUCACAAGAGAACCAAGCACAUCGAGAGACGCUUCAAUUCCAUCCGCGAUCAGGUCAAGGAGGGAGACAUAGAGAUUUGCAAGAUACAUACGGAUCUGAAUGUUGCAGACCCGUUGACUAAGCCUCUCUCACGAGCAAAACAUGAUCAGCACCAAGACUCCAUGGGUGUUAGAAUCAUUACUGUGUAAUCUAGAUUAUUGACUCUAGUGCAAGUGGGAGACUGAAGGAAAUAUGCCCUAUAGGCAAUAAUAAUGUUGUUAUUUAUAUUUCCUUAUAUCAUGAUAAAUGUUUAUUAUUCAUGCUAGAAUUGUAUUAACCAGAAACUUAGUACAUGUGUGAAUACAUAGACAAACAUAGUGUCACUAGUAUGCCUCUACUUGACUAGCUCGUUGAAUCAAAGAUGGUUAAGUUUCCUAGCCAUAGACAUGAGUUGUCAUUUGAUUAACGGGAUCACAUCAUUAGAGAAUUAUGUGAUUGACUUGACCCAUUCCGUUAGCCUAGCACUUGAUCGUUUAGUUUAUUUGCUAUUGCUUUCUUCAUGACUUAUACAUGUUCCUAUGACUAUGAGAUUAUGCAAACUCCCGAAUACCGGAGGAACACUUAGUGUGCUACCAAACGUCACAACAUAACUGGGUGAUUAUAAAGGUGAUCUACAGGUGUCUCCAAUGGUGUUUGUUGAGUUGGCAUUGCUACCUCUUGAGCAUGCGUUGGUUUUCCCUCGGCAGCAAAGUAGCGUAAGUAUUUCCCUCAGUUUUUGAGAACCAAGGUAUCAAUCCAGUAGGAGGCCACAUGCAAGUCCCUCGUACCUACACAAACAAAUAAGAACCUUGCAACCAACGCGAUAAAGGGAUUGUCAAUCCCUUCACGACCACUUGCAAAAGUGAGAUCUGAUACAGAUGAUAAGAUAAUAUUUUUGGUAUUUUUAUGAUAAAGAUUAAAAGUAAAGAUUGCAAAAUAAACGGUGACAGAAGUAGCUAGUUGACGGGAGAUUAAUAUUAUGGAAGAUAGACCCGGGGGCCAUAGGUUUCACUAGUGGCUUCUCUCAAGAUAGCAUAAGUAUUACGGUGGGUGAACAAAUUACUGUCGAGCAAUUGAUAGAAUUGAGCAUAGUUAUGAGAAUAUCUAGGUAUGAUCAUGUAUAUAGGCAUCACGUCCGUGACAAGUAGACCGACUCCUGCCUGCAUCUACUACUAUUACUCCACACAUCGGCCGCUAUCCAGCAUGCAUCUAGAGUAUUAAGUUCAUAAGAACAGAGUAACGCAUUAGGCAAGAUGACAUGAUGUAGAGGGAUAAACUCAUGCAAUAUGAUAUAAACCCCAUCUUUUUAUCCUCGAUGGCAACAAUACAAUACGUGUUGUUUCCCCUUCUGUCACUAGGAUCGAGCAACGCAAGAUUGAACCCAAAGCUUAGCACUUCUCCCAUUACAAGAAAGAUCAAUCUAGUAGGCCAAACCAAACUGAUAAUUCGAAGAGACUUGCAAAGAUAACCAAUCAUACAUAAAAGAAUUCAGAGAAGAUUCAAAUAUUGUUCAUAGAUAAUCUUGAUCAUAAACCCACAAUUCAUCGGAUCUCGACAAACACACCGCAAAAAGAGUUACAUCGAAUAUAUCUCCAAGAAGAUCGAGAACUUUGUAUUGAGAUCCGAAGAGAGAGAGAAGCCAUCUAGCUAAUAACUAUGGACCCGAAGGUCUGAGGUAAACUACUCACACAUCAUCGGAGAGGCUAUGGUGUUGAUGUAGAAGCCCUCCGUGAUCGAUGCCCCCUCCGGCGGAGCGCCGGAAAAGGCCCCAAGAUGGGAUCUCACGGGUACAGAAGGUUGCGGCGGUCGAAAUAGGGUUUCGUGGUGCUCCUCGAUGUUUUCGGGGUACGUAGGUAUAUAUAGGAGGAAGAAGUAGGUCGGUGGAGCUGCGAGGGGCCCACGAGGGUGGGGGGCGCACCCAGGGGGGCAGGCGCGCCUCCUUGCCUCGUGGCCUCCUCGUUGAUUUCUUGACGUCCACUCGAAGUCCUCUGGACCACGUUUGUUCCAAAAAUAACUCUCCCAAAGGUUUCAUUUCGUUUGGACUCCGUUUGAUAUUCCUUUUCUGCGAAACACUGAAAUAGGCAAAAAAACAACAAUUUGCACUAGGCCUUGGGUUAGUAGGUUAGUCCCUAAAAUAAUAUAAAAGUUCUUAGUAAAGCCCAUUAAACAUCCAAAACAGAAUAUAUAAUAGCAUGGAAAUAUAAAAAAUUAUAGAUACGUUGGAGACAUAUCAAGCAUCCCCAAGCUUAAUUCCUGCUCGUCCUCGAGUAGGUAAAUGAUAAAAACAGAAUUUUUGAUGUGGAAUGCUUCCUAACGUAUUCCUCAAUGUAUUUUCUUUAUUGUGGCAUGAAUGUUCAGAUCCGAAAGAUUCAAGAUAAAAGUUUAAUAUUGACAUAAAAAUAAUAAUACUUCAAGCAUACUAACAAAGCAAUCAUGUCUUCUCAAAAUAACAUGGCCAAAGAAAGUUAUCCCUACAAAAUCAUAUAGUCUGGCUAUGCUCUAUCUUCACCACACAAAGUAUUUAAAUCAUGCACAACCCCGAUGACAAGCCAAGCAAUUGUUUCAUACUUUUGAUGUUCUCAAACUUUUUCAAUCUUCACGCAAUACAUGAGCGUGAGCCAUGGACAUAGCACUAUAGGUGGAAUAGAAUGGUGGUUGUGGAGAAGACAAAAAAGGAGAAGAUAGUAUCACAUCAACUAGGCGUAUCAACGGGCUAUGGAGAUGCCCAUUAAUAGAUAUCAAUGUGAGUGAGUAGGGAUUGCCAUGCAACGGAUGCACUAGAGCUAUAAGUGUAUGAAAGCUCAACGAAAGAAACUAAGUGGGUGUGCAUCCAACUCGCUUGCCCACGAAGAACUAGGGCAUUUUGAGGAAGCCCAUCAUUGGAAUAUACAAUCCAAGUUCUAUAAUGUAAAAUUCCCACUAGUAUAUGAAAGUGACAACAUAGGAGACUCUCUAUCAUGAAGAUCAUGGUGCUACUUUGAAGCACAAGUGUGGUAAAAGGAUAGUAGCAUUGUCCCUUCUCUCUUUUUCUCUCAUUUUUUUUGUUUGGGCCUUUUUCUCUUUUUAUGGCCUCUUUUCUUUCUCUUUUUUUUUAUUUUUAGUCCGGAGUCUCAUCCCGACUUGUGGGGGAAUCAUAGUCUCCAUCAUCCUUUCCUCACACGGGACAAUGCUCUAAUAAUGAUGAUCAUCACACUUUUAUUUACUUACAACUCAAAAAUUACAACUCAAUACUUAGAACAAAAUAUGACUCUAUGUGAAUGCCUCCGGCGGGGUACCGGGAUAUGCAAUGAAUCAAGAGUGACAUGUAUGAAAGAAUUAUGAAUGGUGGCUUUGCCACAAAUACGAUGUCAACUACAUGAUCAUGCAAAGCAAUAUGACAAUGAUGAAGCGUGUCAUAAUAAACGGAACGGUGGUAAGUUGCAUGGCAAUAUAUCUCGGAAUGGCUAUGGAAAUGCCAUAAUAGGUAGGUAUGGUGGCUGUUUUGAGGAAGGUAAAUGGUGGGUGUAUGAUACCGGCGAAAGGUGCGCGGUAUUAGAGAGGCUAGCAAUGGUGUAAGGGUGAGAGUGCGUAUAAUCCAUGGACUCAACAUUAGUCAUAAAGAACUCACAUACUUGUUGCAAAAAUCUAUUAGCUAUCGAAACAAAGUACUACACGCAUGCUCCUAGGGGGGAUAGAUUGGUAGGAAAAGACCAUCGCUCGUCCCCGACCGCCACUCAUAAGGAAGACAAUCAAUAAAUAAAUCAUGCUCCGACUUCAUCACAUAACGGUUCACCAUACGUGCAUGCUACGGGAAUCACAAACUUUAACACAAGCAUCUCUCAAAUCCACAACUAAUCAACUAGCAUGACUCUCAUAUUACCAUCUUCAUAUCUCAAAACAAUUAUCAAGUAUCAAACUUCUCAUAGUAUUCAAUGCACUUUUUGUAUGAUAGUUUUUAUUAUACCUAUCUUGGAUGCUCAUUACUUUAGGACUAAAAUUUUAACCAAAGCAAAUUACCAUGCUGUUCUAAAAGACUCUCAAAAUAAUAUAAGUGAAGCAUGAGAGAUCAAUUAUUUCUAUAAAAUAAAACCACCGCCGUGCUCUAAAAGAUAUAAGUGAAGCACUAGAGCAAAAUUUUCUAGCUCAAAAGAUAUAAGUGAAGGACAUAGAGUAUUCUAAUAAAUUCCGAUUAAUGUGUGUCUCUCCCAAAAGGUGUGUACAGCAAGGAUGAUUGUGGUGAACUAAAAAUCAAAGAAUCAAAUCAUACAAGACGCUCCAAGCAAAACACAUAUCAUGUGGUGAAUAAAAAUAUAGCUCCAAGUAAACUUACCGAUGGACGAAGACAAAAGAGGGGAUGCCUUCCGGGGCAUCCCCAAGCUUAGGCUUUUUGGUUGUCCUUGGAUUUUACCUUGGGGUGCCUUGGUAACACCAAAGCCUAGGCUCUUGCCACUCCUUGUUCCAUAAUCCAUCAAAUCUUUACCCAAAACUUGAAAACUUCACAACACAAAACUUAACAGAAAAUCUCAUGAGCUCCGUUAGCGAAAGAAAACAAAACAACCACUUAAAGGUACUGUAAUGAACUCAUUAUUUAUUUAUAUUAGUGUUAAACCUACUGUAUUCCAACUUCUCUAUGGUUCAUAACCUCCGAUACUAGCCAUAGAUUCAUCAAAAUAAGCAAACAACACACAAAAAACAGAAUCUGUCAAAAACAGAACAGUCUGUAGUAAUCUGUAUCUAACGCAAACUUCUGUAACUCAUAAAAAUCUACCAAAAUAGGAAGACCUAUAUAAUUUGUUUAUUGAUCUACAGCAAUUGGAAUCAGUAUUUUAUCACGUUCUGGUGAUUUUUAACAAUUGUUUUUGUGAGCAGAAAGUUUCUGACUUUUUCAGCAAGAUCAAAUAACUAUCAUUCAAGAAGAUCCUAUAGGUUCUACUUGGCACAAACACUAAUUAAAACAUAAAACCACAUCUAACCAGAGGCUAGAUCAAUUAUUUAUUACUAAACAUAACCAAAAAGCAAGUAACAAAAAUAAAAUUGGGUUGCCUCCCAACAAGCGCUAUCGUUUAACGCCCCUAGCUAGGCAUUGAGAUUUCGAUGAUGCUCACAUGAAAGACAAGAAUUGAAGCACAAAGAGAGCAUCAUGAAACACGUGACAAGCACAUCUAAGUCUAACAUACUUCCUAUGCAUAGGCAUCUUAUAGGCAAACAAAUUAUCAAGGCAAGCAAAAACUAGCAUAUGCAAGGAAGCGGAAAGAAACAAUAGCAAUCUCAACAUAAUGAGAGGUAAUUUAGUAACAUGAAAAUUUCUACAACCAUAUUUUCCUCUCUCAUAAUAAUUACAUGUAGGAUCAUAAGCAAAUUCAACAAUAUAGCUAUCACAAAACAUAUUCUUAACACGAUCCACAUCUAUGCAAAGUUGACACUCUUCCAAAAUAGUGGGAUUAUCAUUAACUAAAGUCAUGACCUCUCCAAACCCACUUUUAUCAAAAAUUUCAUAAGAUUGAACAUUCUCCAAAUAUGUGGGAUCUAAAGUUGACACUCUUCCAAACCCACUUUCAAUAAUAUUGCAAACACUAUUAUCAAUCUCAUAUUCAUCAUGGGGCUUAAAUAAAUUUUCAAGAUCAAAAGGAGAAUCACCCCAAUCAUGAUCAUUCCAACAAAUAGUAGUCAUAGCAAAACUAGCAUCCCCAAGCUUAGGGUUUUGCAUAUUAUUAGCACAAUUGACAUCAAGAGAAUUUAUAAUAACAUCAUUGCAAUCAUGCUUUUUAUCAAAGGAACUAUCAAGUAUGGGCACAAUAGCAACGUUCUCAUGUUUAACAUAAGGAAUUAUAGCAAAUUCGUCUUCAACAAUAUUGGCAUCAUGGCCACAAGAAUAGCAAGCAUCAUGUUCAUUAAGGGAAAUUUCAAUCAAAUCAUCGAAAUCAUCAUUAUCUAUAGAUUCAUGCAUAUCAUUAUUUUCUUCCAAAGCAACGGUCAUUCUCUCAAUAAUUUCUUUGACAUAGACAUUAUUUUUCAUAGCAAUAUUUAAGUAUGUCAAAAUUUUCAGAUUUGUAGAGAGUAAUAUCAUACUUUUCAAUCAAAGAAGCAACUUCAUGAGCACCCUUAAAAAUGACAAAUUCUUCAAUUCGUUUGAUAUCAUAGUAACUAUAAACACCCUUUCCACAAGAAGAUAAGAUUUCAUUAUCAUUAAACUCACAUAGGUAGGGAAGGUGUUUUUUAGGGUUCUUAGAGCAACAAGUAAAAUCAUAAAUUUCACAAAGAUUCCAAGCAUAGAAAAGCAAACUGUUUAUUUGAUCCCAUAAGAGUUUCCCCUUUUCAGACAAACGGUGACGCACAAAAUGAGCAUGCUCAUCUAAAGAUUUCCCAUCAACUAGGCUAGUUGGGGUUUCAGCACGAGCGCAUAAGGAUCGAAGAUGAUCCAAGUAGAACACUUUAAGUGGAUCCAUAUCAAUAGAUUUUUAGCAAGCAAAGAUGCAAGCAAAUAGAAGGCACGUGGAAACACAAACAAAAAGACAUACAGGAAGAAGGCGGAGAAAAGGCAAAGGUGAAGUGGGGGAGAGGAAAACGAGAGGCAAAUGGCAAAUAAUGUAAUGCGAGGGAUAAGAGUUUGUGAUGGGUACUUAGUAUGUCUUGACUUGUGCGUAGACUCCCCGGCAACAGCGCCAGAAAUCCUUCUUGCUACCUCUUGAGCAUGCGUUGGUUUUCCCUUGAAGAGGAAAGGGUGAUGCAGCAAAGUAGCAUAAGUAUUUCCCUCAGUUUUUGAGAACCAAGGUAUCAAUCCAGUAGGAGGCCACACGCAAGUCCCUCGUACCUACACAAACAAAUAAGAACCUUGCAACCAACGCGAUAAAGGGGUUGUCAAUCCCUUCACGGCCACUUGCAAAAGUGAGAUCUGAUAGAGAUGAUAAGAUAAUAUUUUUGGUAUUUUUAUGAUAAAGAUUAAAAGUAAAGAUUGCAAAACAAACGACGACAGAAGUAGCUAGUUGACGGGAGAUUAAUAUUAUGGAAGAUAGACCCGGGGGCCAUAGAUUUCACUACUGGCUUCUCUCAAGAUAGCAUAAGUAUUACGGUGGAUGAACAAAUUACUGUCGAGCAAUUGAUAGAAUAGUGCAUAGUUAUGAGAAUAUCUAGGCAUGAUCAUGUAUAUAGGCAUCACGUCCGCAACAAGUAGACCGACUCCUGCCUGCAUCUACUACAAUUACUCCACACAUCGACCACUAUCCAGCAUGCAUCUAGAGUAUUAAGUUCAGAAGAACAGAGUUACGCAUUAGGCAAGAUGACAUGAUGUAGAGGGAUAAACUCAAUAAAUAUGAUAUAAACCCCAUCUUUUUAUCCUCGAUGGCAACAAUACAAUACGUGUCUGAUACGUCUCCGUCGUAUCUACUUUUCCAAACAAUUUUGCCCUUGUUUUGGACUCUAACUUGCAUGAUUUGAAUGGAACUAACCCGGACUAACGCUGUUUUCAGCAGACUUUCCAUGGUGUUAUUUAUGUGCAGAAACAAAAGUUCUCGGAAUGACCUGAAACUCCAUGGAACAUAUUUUUGGAAAAUAUUGAAAAUACUGGAAGAAGAAUCCACGUCAGGGGGCCCACACCCUGUCCACGAGGGUGGGGGGCGCGCCCCUGCCUCGUGGGCCCCCUAACGCUCCACCGACCUCAACUCCAACUCCAUAUAUUCACUUUCGGGGAGAAAAAAAUCAGAGAGAAGGAUUCAUUGUGUUUUACGAUACGGAGCCGCCGCCAAGCCCUAAAACCUCUCGGGAGGGCUGACCUGGAGUCCGUUCGGGGCUCCGGUGAGGGGAAUCCGUCGCCAUCGUCAUCAUCAACCAUCCUCCAUCACCAAUUUCAUGAUGAUCGCCGCCGUGCGUGAGUAAUUCCAUCGUAGGCUUGCUGGACGGUGAUGAGUUGGAUGACAUCUAUCAUGUAAUCGAGUUAGUUUUGUUAGGGUUUGAUCCCUAGUAUCCACUAUGUUCUGAGAUUGAUGUUGCUAUGACUUUGCUAUGCUUAAUGCUUGUCACUAGGGCUAGAGUGCCAUGAUUUCAGAUCUGAACCUAUUAUGUUUUCAUGAAUAUAUGUGAGUUCUUGAUCCUAUCUUGCAAGUCUAUAGUCACCUACUAUGUGUUAUGAUCCGGCAACCCCGAAGUGACAAUAAUCGGGACCACUCCCGGUGAUGACCGUAGUUUGAGGAGUUCAUGUAUUCACUAUGUGCUAAUGCUUUGUUCCGGUACUCUAUUAAAAGGAGGCCUUAAUAUCCCUUUGUUUCCGCUAGGACCCCGCUGCCACGGGAGGGUAGGACAAAAGAUGUCAUGCAAGUUCUUUUCCAUAAGCACGUAUGACUAUAUUCGAAAUACAUACCUACAUUACAUUGAUGAAUUGGAGCUAGUUCUGUGUCACCCUAUGUUAUGAUUGUUACAUGAUGAACCGCAUCCGGCAUAAUUCUCCAUCACCGAUCCAAUACCUACGAGCUUUUCACAUAUUGUUCUUUGCUUAUUAACUUUACCGCUGCUAUUGUUACAAUCACUACAAAACCCAAAAAUAUUACUUUUGCUAUCGUUACCGUUACUUCCAUAUUAAUUUGCUACUAAAUACUUUGCUGCAGAUACUAAUUUAUCCAGGUGUGGUUGAAUUGACAACUCAACUGCUAAUACUUGAGAAUAUUCUUUGGCUCCCCUUCUGUCGAAUCAAUAAAUUUGGGUUGAAUACUCUAUCCUCGAAAACUGUUGUGAUCCCCUAUACUUGUGGGUUAUCAAGACUAUUUUCUGGCGCCGUUGCCGGGGAACAUAGCUCUAUUCUUUGAGUCACUUGGGAUUUAUAUCUGCUGGUCACUAUGAAGAACUUAAAAGACGCUAAGACAACAAUUUAUCCCUCAACUACGAGGGGAGGUAAGGAACUGCCAUCUAGCUCUGCACUUGAUUCACCUUCUGUUUUGAGUAAGCUUGCGACACCUAAACCUGCUUCUGCUAUUCACUCUGAUAUGUCGCAUGUUAUUGAUGAUGCCACUUCUGCUAUGCAUGAUACUUAUGAUGAAACUACUUCUAUGCUUGAUACUACUGUGCCACUUGGUGAAUUUCUUGAUGAACAACUUGCUAGGGCUAGAGAGAAUGAAAUUAUUGAAACUGAUAAUAUUGAUGUAAGUGAUGAUGAAGACUCUACCCCUAAUAAAUAUGAAUAUCCUGUUGUGCCCGAGGGCUAUGUUAUGGAUGAAGAAAUUGCUAAAGCUAUUUUUGCUUGCAAGGAUAGAUAUGAUCUUAAGAAGUUAUUAGCUAAAUGGAAGCAGCAAUCUCUUAAUGCUAGAAUGAAACCUGAACCUGCUUUUGCUACUUCACCUAUCUGUGUUACUGAUAAGGAUUAUGAAUUCUCUGUUGAUCCUGAUAUAAUUACUUUGGUUGAAUCUGAUCCUUUUUAUGGCUAUGAAUCUGAAACUGUUGUGGCACAUCUUACUAAAUUAAAUGAUAUAGCCACCCUGUUCACUAAUGAUGAGAGAACUCGCUACUUCUAUAUCCUUAAAAAAAUCCGUUCUCAUUAAAGGGUGAUGCUAAGAUAUGGUUUAAUUCUCUUGAUCCUUGUUGUGUGCGUAGUCCCCAGGAUAUGAUUUAUUACUUCUCUGCUAAAUAUUUCCCUGCUCAUAAGAAACAAGCUGCUUUAAGGGAUAUAUAUAAUUUUGUGCAAAUUGAAGAAGAGAGUCUCCCACAAGCUUGGGGGAGGCUUCUCCAAUUACUUAAUGCUUUGCCUGAUCAUCCUCUUAAGAAAAAUGAAAUACUUGAUAUCUUUUAUAAUGGACUAACCGAUGCUUCCAGAGAUUACCUGGAUAGUUGUGCUGGUUCUGUUUUCAGGGACAGAACACCGGAUGAAGCGGAAAUUUUAUUGAAUAAUAUGUUGACAAAUGAAAAUAAUUGGACACUUCCUGAGCCUAUUCCUAAACCAACUCCAAAGAAGAGGGGUGUUCUAUUUCUCAGUCCUGAAGAUAUGCAAGAGGCAAAGAAAUCUAUGAAAGAAAAAGGUAUUAAAGCUGAAGAUGUUAAGAAUUUACCUCCUAUUGAAGAAAUACAUGGUCUUAAUUUACUGCCUGUUGAAGAAACAUAUGAUCUUAAUCCCGCACCUAUUGAAGAAACUUAUGAUCUUGAUAACCCGACACAGGUAGUAAAGGUAAAUUCUCUCUAUAGAUAUGAUAAAGCUGAAAUCCCUCCUACUAAAAUUGCUAGCCAAUGCUUGGAUGAGUUUGAUAACUUUAUGGUUAAGCAAGAAGAUUUUAAUGCUUAUUUUGGUAGACAACUAAAACAAAAUGCUUAUAUGAUUGAACACUUGGGUGAUUAUAUGUCUAGAGUUAAAGGUGAACUUAAAAUCAUUAGCAAACAUGCUUCUAUGGUUACCACUCAAGUAGAACAAGUACUUAAAGCUCAAAAUGAUUUGCUCAAUGAAUUAAAUAGUAAGAAUAAUGAUUAUGAUGUUAGAGUGGCUAUUAGAACCGGUAAAAUGACUCAGGAACCUUUGUAUCCUAAAGGCCACCCUAAGAGAAUUGAGCAAGAUUCUCAGAGAAAUAAUUUAGAUGCACCUAGCUCUUCUAAAAAGAAGAAAAAGAAAAAUGAUAGGACUUUGCAUGCUUCUAGUGAACCUAUUCCUGAACCACCUGAGAAUCCCAAUGAUAUUUCUAUUUCUGAUGCUGAAACACAAUCUGGUAAUGAACAUGAACCUAGUGAAAAUGUUAAUGAUGAUGUUCAUGAUGAUGCUCAACCUAGCAAUGACAAUGAUGUAGAAAUUGAACCUGCUGUUGAUCUUGAUAACCCACAAUCAAAGAAUCAACGUUAUGAUAAGAGAGACUUUGUUGCUAGGAAGCACGGUAAACAAAGAGAACCAUGGGUUCAGAAACCCAUGCCUUUUCCUCCCAAACCAUCCAAGAAAAAGGAUGAUGAGGAUUUUGAGCGCUUUGCUGAAAUGAUUAGACCUAUCUUCUUGCGUAUGCGAUUAACUGAUAUGCUCAAAAUGAAUCCUUAUGCUAAGUAUAUGAAAGAAAUUGUCACUAAUAAAAGAAAGAUACUGGAAGCUGAAAUUACCACCAUGCUUGCUAAUUACACUUUCAAGGGUGGAAUACCUAAGAAACUACGAGAUCCAGGAGUACCAACUAUACCAUGCUCCAUUAAAAGAAAUUAUGUUAAAACUGCUUUAUGUGAUCUUGGAGCCGGUGUUAGUGUUAUGCCUCUCUCUUUAUAUCGUAGACUGGACUUGAAUAAGUUGACACCUACUGAAAUAUCUUUGCAAAUGGCUGAUAAAUCAACUGCUAUACCUGUCGGUAUUUGUGAGGAUGUGCCUGUUGUGGUUGCAAACGUUACUAUUUUAACAGACUUUGUUAUUCUUGAUAUUCCCGAGGACGAUAGUAUGUCUAUUAUUCUUGGAAGACCCUUUUUGAAUCCUGCAGGGGCUGUUAUUGAUUGCAACAAAGGCAAUGUCACUUUUCAUGUUAAUGGUAAUGAGCAUACGAUUCACUUUCCGAGGAAACAACCUCAAGUUCAUAGUAUCAACUCUAUUGGAAAAUUUUCAUCGAUUAUUUUUGGAGAUUUUGAAUUUCCUCUUCCUACUGUCAAGAAGAAAUAUGAUAUUCUUAUUAUUGGGGAUGUGCAUAUCCCCGUUGAGGUAACAUAGUGUUAUUCAAAAUUUCUCCGGUUCCAUGUUGGUCGGAAUGAGUUUGUUAACAAGACCUGAUCAACCUUGUUAGUGGAUUCCUUUUGAUGAGCAUGAGAUGGAUGAAACUAGAAAGCACAACCUUCUGUACCCUCCUUUUACUUUCUGUUAUUUAGUUUAAAUAAAGUAAAAAUAGUAUUUUUUCUGUCUGUUUUCUGAAUUAUCCGUGCAAUAUAAAAAUACCCCAAAAAUAAAAGUUCUCCAAAUGCCCUGAAAAUGGAAUAUGAUUUUUUCUGGAAUAUUUGAGAAUAUCUGGCAUUGAGAACACAGCAGGGGGAGCAAGCACCUGGCCACGAGGGUCCAGGGCGCGCCCCCUGCCUCGUGGGCCCAUGGUGGCUCCCCUCCACUUAUUCCUGCACCCACACACUUCUUCUUCCUCCCAAAAAAUCACCAUCCAGCUCAAGCACGAGUUCUAGCUCAUUUUGCUGCGAUUUUCGAUCUCCUUGCUCANNNNNNNNNNNNNNNNNNNNNNNNNNNNNNNNNNNNNNNNNNNNNNNNNNNNNNNNNNNNNNNNNNNNNNNNNNNNNNNNNNNNNNNNNNNNNNNNNNNNNNNNNNNNNNNNNNNNNNNNNNNNNNNNNNNNNNNNNNNNNNNNNNNNNNNNNNNNNNNNNNNNNNNNNNNNNNNNNNNNNNNNNNNNNNNNNNNNNNNNNNNNNNNNNNNNNNNNNNNNNNNNNNNNNNNNNNNNNNNNNNNNNNNNNNNNNCAAUUAGUUUUUGUUCUAGUGCUUUAUUCAUGGCAAAUUUGUGCUGCCUAGGUGACCAUGUUCCUGAGCUUGCAUGUCAAAUUUAUAUGGUUCCAAGUAGUUCUAAUGCAUGAUAUAGUUUAUAGGCACUUGUAGGAGUAGUUACUAUCAAUUUUAUUGAGCUUGGUUCACUUUUGUUUGAAGUUACUAAAAAUUUCAGAAAUUUUUCAGAGGAAGAAAUAUGCUUAGGAAAAUGUACCAAGGUGGUUCUUCAAGGAAGCAAGGACCCAGGCUUGCAAUGCGUGAUGCCAAUGAUGAGCCACCAAGGAACGCCCCAGUGCGGCCUUGUGAAUGGCCUUCUGAAAACUUUAUGGAUCGAGCGGGAAUCAAGGAAGAAUUUAACGCAUAUUUGCGUAACGCUGAUCUUGUGAGCUUCGAGGGAGAAAAGUGCCGCCGGUACCACUAUCUCACUAGUUCCUUUGUGAGGAGGUUUGAAUUUUCAUCUUCACGUAAUUCUCCAACUGUCCUAUUUGAUCUUUAUGAGAAAUCUUAUACGAUGGACUUAGAGGAUUUUACCACUGCUUGCAAACUUCCACAAUGGGGUGGUGCUAGUGAACCUCGCAAAUCUGAAUUUAGAAAUUUUCUUGCCAGUAUAACUGUGGGGGAAUCUAGAGAUAUAGCGCAAGCUACCAUAGGGAGCAUUCAUUUUCCUGCUAUACAAUAUUUUGCUCUCUUCAUAGGUAGGUGCAUAAAUGGUAAAGAUGAAGCAUGUCAUAUGUGUGUCCCUGACCUCAGUAUUCUUAGGAGUGCUGUGUUAGGAGACAAAUCUUAUAAUUUGGGAGCCAUUGUCACAUGUAGGUUGCAUCACAAUAGAUAUAAUGGAGAUUUCUUUGGUGGAAUUUAUGUAACCCGCUUAACUGAUUUUCUUGGUGUAGACAUACGUGAGGAUGAUAUUGAGUUGCCUCCUGCUUAUUUAGAUUAUGAGGCUAUGGUUCGUCAUCAGUUUAUUGGGAUGAAUGAACAACCUCUCCAGUACCGACUAAUCUUUGACAGACGACGCACCUAUCGAGUCGCUCUUCCUGCUCCUGCUUUCUUUGAUUUCCAGGUAAAAGGAAGAUAUUAUAUAACCAGAGAGGAGGCGGAGGAGUAUAAGAGGAGGGCUGAGAUAGCUCGCCUCCAAGCUGCAGCACAGGAUGCAAUGACCGCUGCAUCUCAGUACGACCCCAACUACAACUAUGGAUAUCCGCCAGGCCAUCCGUGGCAAUAAACCAACUUAGGCCAAAAGCCUAAGCUUGGGGGAGUACGUAUUUCUCACCGACAUUACAUUUAUGUUCACACACACUCAUUGCUAGAUGUCGGUGCUCAUACUUUUUCACUGUAAUAUCCAUGCUAGUUUAUUUUCUUUUUCUUGCUUUCUUCUUGUGUGUUUAAUAAACCUUAAGAAAACCAAAAAAAAUAGUGUAGCUUUUAGUUAGUUUAUUUUUCUUGUUGUAGUAGUAAUAAUUAAAAACAAAACCCAAAAAGAUUUCCCGUUCUUCUUUUGCUUGUUGGGAGCUUUCCCGUGUAAAUAGUUUUAUUUAUUUUCUUUUCUUUGGGGGUCGAUAGGAGAAGACCAUAAUUAAAUUGUUGAAGUGGCUCUUAUAUGCAUUAUUGUUGAUUUAACCAAGAGCCCAUAUUGCCUUGUCUUCUCCUGUUUAUUGAAUGCUCGCAGAUUCCGGCUUAGUCCAAUGCACGUGCACUCUUAUUAUUAUUCACAUCGUUCGGUCGUGCAAGUGAAAGGCAAUUAUGACGAUAUAUGAUGGACUGACUGAGAUGAGAAAAGCUGGUAUGAACUCGACUUCUCUUGUUUUUGUAAAUAUGAUUAGUUCAUCGUUCCUGAUUCAGCCUAUUAUGAAUAAACAUGUUUGCAAUGAUAAUUAGAGAUUAUAGUUGCUUGUGCCAUGCUUGAUUAGCUAUGAGUUAUAAUGGUUUACCUUGCGUGCCAACAUGCUAUUAAAAUGGUUGUGAUGUGGUAUGAUGGGGUGGUAUCCUCCUUUGAAUGAUUUAAGUGACUUGACUUGGCACAUGUUCACACAUGUAGUUGAAACAAAUCAACAUAGCCUUCACGAUAUUUAUGUUCAUGGCGGAUUAUAUCCUACUCAUGCUUGUACGCAAUGUUUAUUAAUUUUAAUGCAUGUUCAUGACUGUUGUCACUCUCUAGUUGGUCGCUUUCCAGUCUUUUGCUAGCCUUCACUUGUACUAAGCGGGAAUACUGCUUGUGCAUCCAAUCCCUUAAACCCCAAAAGUUAUUCCAUAUGAGUCCACUAUACCUUCCUAUAUGCGGCAUCUACCUGCCGUUCCAAGUAAAUUUGUAUGUGCCAAACUCUAAACCUUCAAAUGAAAUUCUGUUUUGUAUGCUCGAAUAACUCAUGUAUCAACUAGGGAUGUCCGUAUCUUCCAUGCUAGGCGGGUUAUUCUCAAGAGGAGUGGAGUCCGCUCCUCACUCACGAGAAAAUGGCUGGUCACCGGGAUGCCCAGUCCCAUGCUUUAUGCAAACUAAAUCAAAAUAAUUGCAAACAAAACUCCCCCAGGAUUGUUGUUAGUUGGACGGUACCCGUUGUUUCGGACCAGCCGUGGAGUGUGCUUGUUGGUGGUGGGGGAGUAUAAACUUUACCAUUCUGUUUGGGAACCGCCUAUAAUGUGUGUAGCAUGGAAGAUAUCGCCGUCUCUUGGUUGUUAUGUUGAUAAUGAAAGUAUGCCGCUCAAAAUAUUAUUUAUCUCUAUUUCAAAAAUCGAGCUCUGGCACCUCUACAAAUCCCUGCUUCCCUCUGCGAAGGGCCUAUCUAUUUACUUUUAUGUUGAGUCAUCACCCUCUUAUCAUAAGCACCAGCUGGAGAGCACUGCUGUCAUUUGCAUCCAUUAUUAUUAAUUUAUAUUGGGUAUGACUGGAUCUCUUUUACCAUGAAUUACAAUGUCUAGUCAGUCCUUGAUCUUUAAAGGUCCUCUGCAUUUAUGUUUUGCGGUCUCAGAAAGGGCUAGCGAGAUACCAUCUUAUUAUAUCAUAUCAUGAUUGUUUUGAGAAAGUGUUUUCAUCCGAGAUUUAUUAUUAUGGCUCGCUAGUUGAUUAUGCUAUUGAUAUGAGUAAACAUGAGACCUAAGUGCUAUUGUGAAUAUGGUUAGUCAUAAUCUUUGCUGAAAACUUGAAUGUUGGCUUUACAUAUUUACAACAACAAGAGCAAACAGAGUUUGUAAAAGUUUUUCUUUAUCACUUUCAGUUUAUCAACUAAAUUGCUUGAGGACAAGCAAAGGUUUAAGCUUGGGGGAGUUGAUACGUCUCCGUCGUAUCUACUUUUCCAAACACUUUUGCCCUUGUUUUGGACUCUAACUUGCAUGAUUUGAAUGGAACUAACCCGGACUAACGCUGUUUUCAGCAGACUUUCCAUGGUGUUAUUUAUGUGCAGAAACAAAAGUUCUCGGAAUGACCUGAAACUCCAUGGAACAUAUUUUUGGAAAAUAUUAAAAAUACUGGAAGAAGAAUCCACGUCAGAGGGCCCACACCUUGUCCACGAGGGUGGAGGCGUGCCUGCCCCCCUCGGCGCGCCCCCCUGCCUCGUGGGCCCCCUGACGCUCCACGGACCUCAACUCCAACUCCAUAUAUUCACUUUUGGGGAGAAAAAAAUCAGAGAGAAGGAUUCAUCGUGUUUUACGAUACGGAGCCGCCGCCAAGCCCUAAAACCUCUCGGGAGGGCUGAUCUGGAGUCCGUUCGGGGCUCCGGAGAGGGGAAUCCGUCGCCGUCGUCAUCAUCAACCAUCCUCCAUCACCAAUUUCAUGAUGCUCACCGCCGUGCGUGAGUAAUUCCAUCGUAGUCUUGCUGGACGGUGAUGGGUUGGAUGAGAUCUAUCAUGUAAUCGAGUUAGUUGUUAGGGUUUUAUCCCUAGUAUCCACUAUGUUCUGAGAUUGAUGUUGCUAUGACUUUGCUAUGCUUAAUGCUUGUCACUAGGGCCCGAGUGCCAUGAUUUCAGAUCUGAACCUAUUAUGUUUUCAUGAAUAUAUGUGAGUUCUUGAUCCUAUCUUGCAAGUCUGUAGUCACCUACUAUGUGUUAUGAUCCGGCAACCCCGAAGUGACAAUAAUCGGGACCACUCCCGGUGAUGACCGUAGUUUGAGGAGUUCAUGUAUUCACUAUGUGCUAAUGCUUUGUUCCGGUACUCUAUUAAAAGGAGGCCUUAAUAUCCCUUAGUUUCCGCUAGGACCCCGCUGCCACGGGAGGGUAGGACAAAAGAUGUCAUGCAAGUUCUUUUCCAUAAGCACGUAUGACUAUAUUCGGAAUACAUGCCUACAUUACAUUGAUGAAUUGGAGCUAGUUCUGUGUCACCCUAUGUUAUGAUUGUUACAUGAUGAACCGCAUCCGGCAUAAUUCUCUAUCACCGAUCCAAUGCCUACGAGCUUUUCACAUAUUGUUCUUCGCUUAUUUACUUUACCGCUGCUACUGUUACAAUCACUACAAAACCCAAAAAUAUUACUUUUGCUAUCGUUACCGUUACUUCCAUAUUACUUUGCUACUAAAUACUUUGCUGCAGAUACUAAGUUAUCCAGGUGUGGUUGAAUUGACAACUCAACUGCUAAUACUUGAGAAUAUUCUUUGGCUCCCCUUGUGUCGAAUCAAUAAAUUUGGGUUGAAUACUCUAUCCUCGAAAACUGUUGCGAUCUCCUAUACUUGUAGGUUAUCAGUGUCGUUUCCCCUUCUGUCACUAGGAUCGAGCAACACAACAUUGAACCCAAAGCUAAGCACUUCUCCCAUUGCAAGAAAGAUCAAUCUAGUAGGCCAAACCAAACUGAUAAUUCGAAGAGACUUGCAAAGAUAACCAAUCAUACAUAAAAGAAUUCAGAGAAGAUUCAAAUAUUGUUCAUAGAUAAUCUUGAUCAUAAACCCACAAUCCAUCGGAUCUCGACAAACACACCGCAAAAAGAGUUACAUCGAAUAGAUCUCCAAGAAGAUCGAGGAGAACUUUGUAUUGAGAUCCAAAGAGAGAGAAGAAGCCAGCUAGCUAAUAACUAUGGACCCGAAGGUCUGAGGUAAACUACUCACACAUCAUCGGAGAGGCUAUGGUGUUGAUGUAGAAGCCCUCCGUGAUAGAUGCCCCCUCCGGCGGAGCGCCGGAAAAGGCCCCAAGAUGGGAUCUCAUGGGUACAGAAGGUUGCGGCGGUGGAAAUAGGGUUUCGUGGUGCUCCUCGAUGUUUUCGGGGUACGUAGGUAUAUAUAGGAGGAAGAAGUAGGUCGGUGGAGCUGCGAGGGGCCCACGAGGGUGGGGGCGCGCCCAGGGGGUAGGCACGCCUCCCUGCCUCAUGGCCUCCUUGUUGAUUUCUUGAUGUCCACUCUAAGUCCUCUCGAUCACGUUUGUUCCAAAAAUAAAUCUCCCGAAGGUUUCAUUCCGUUUGGACUCCGUUUGAUAUUCCUUUUCUGUGAAACACUGAAAUAGGCAAAAAAACAGCAAUUUGCACUGGGCCUUGGGUCAGUAGGUUAGUCCCAAAAAUAAUAUAAAAGUGCUUAGUAAAGCCCAUUAAACAUCCAAAACAGAAUAUAUAAUAGCAAGGAACAAUCAAAAAUUAUAGAUAAGUUGGAGACGUAUCAGGCAUUGAUCGAGAUUAGGAUUUGUCACUCCGAUUGUCGGAGAGGUAUCUCUGGGCCCUCUCAGUAAUGCACAUCACUAUAAUCCUUGCAAGCAAUGUGACUAAUGAGUUAGUUGUGAGAUGAUGCAUUACAGAACGAGUAAAGAGACUUGCCGAUAAUGAGAUUGAACUAGGUAUUGAGAUACCGACAAUCGAAUCUCGGGCAAGUAACAUACCGAUGACAAAGGGAACAACGUAUGUUGUUAUGCGGUUUGACCGAUAAAGAUCUUCGUAGAAUAUGUGGGAGCCAAUAUGAACAUCCAGGUUCCGCUAUUGGUUAUUGACCGGAAACGUGUCUCGGUCAUGUCUACAUAGUUCUCGAACCCGUAGGGUCCGCACGCUUAACGUUCGGUGACGAUCGGUAUUAUGAGUUUAUGUGUUUUGAUGUACCGAAGGUAGUUCGGAGUCUUGGAUAUGAUCACGGACAUGACGAGGAGUCUCAAAAUGGUCGAGACAUAAAGAUCGAUAUAUUGGAUGACUAUGUUUGGACAUCGGAAUGGUUCCGGGUGAGUUCGGGCAUUUACCGGAGUACCGGGAGGUUACCGGAACCCCCCGGGAAGUAUAUGGGCCAUAUUGGGCCAUAGUGGGAGAGAGGAGAAGGGAUCCUAGGAGGGGGCGCGCCCCCCAAGCCCAAUCCGAAUUGGGUGGGGGCCGGCCCCCCCCUUUCCUUCCUCUUUCCUCCCUCUUCCUUCCUCUCCUAGUCCAACUAGGGAAGGGAGGAUCCUACUCCCGGUGGGAGUAGGACUCCUCUAGGGCGCGCCAUAGAGGGCCGGCCCUCCCCCAUCCUCCACUCCUUUAUAUACGGGGGAAGGGGGCACCCCAUUGACACACAAGUUGACAUUGUCUUAGCCGUGUGCGGUGCCCCCCUCCACCAUAACCCACCUCGGUCAUACCGUUGUAGUGCUUAGGCGAAGCCCUGUGCCGGUAACUUCAUCAUCAUUGUCAUCACACCGUCGUGCUGACGUAGCUCUCCCUCGACACUCAGCUGGAUCGAGAGUUCGUGGGACGCCACCGAGCUCAACGUGUGCAGAUCGCGGAGGUGCCAUACUUUCGGUACUAGGAUCGGUCGGAUCAUGAAGACGUACGACUACAUCAACCGCGUUGUCAUAACGCUUCCGCUUUCGGUCUACGAGGGUACGUAGACAACACUCUCCCCUCUCGUUGCUAUGCAUCACCUAGAUGGAUUUUGCAUGUGCGUAGGAAUUUUUUUGAAAUUACUGCGUUCCCCAACAGUUAUGUCUCUGCUGGGACUUAUCUAAUUUGUUUGUAUGGAACUAUGUGUGCUCUUAUUUGUGUGUUGUGAACAUAUCAGAAUUUGUGUGCACUAUCAAAUUGGUAUGUUUCCUAUGAGAACCUGUUAUGUUUGAUUGAAACUUUGAACUAUGUGUGAUGUUACUCUCAGAUUUGUCAAAAAAAAACUAUGGCAAAAUUUUGUACCAUGUUUCCCAAGUUUUUGUCAGUGCAAACUGUACUUAUACUCACAAGUGCAAACUAAAAUACAAUUGACAAGUGCAAACUGAACUUACUGCCAGUGCAAUGUCAGAGCAAACUGAACAAAAAUUCACAAGUGCAAAAUGAACUUGAUCUGACAAGUACAAACUUAACUAAAAUUGUCACUUGUUCAGCAUAAAGCUUACAGUCACUUGUUCAACAUAAACUUGCAUUCAUUGCAUGGCAAUGAAUUCAUGACAAACAAGUUACAUCAGUUCAUCAUUCAUACAUACUAAAGAUCACUGCUACAUCUAAAAUGGUAACUUGAUUGCACAAAUACCAUUGAUGAAAGCAACAAAGGCUACAUUACAACCAACUGACAUCACAACUCACUUCUCCUAGUUCUCUAGCAAGCUUUUCAUUUUUGAUCUUUGCUACCUCUUGAGCACUGCGUUGGUUUUCCCUUGAAGAGGAAAGGGUGAUGCAGUAAAGUAGCGUAAGUAUUUCCCUCAGUUUUUGAGAACCAAGGUAUCAAUCCAGUAGGAGACCACGCUCAAGUCCCACGCACCUACACAAACAAAUAAGAACCUUGCAACCAACGCGAUAAAGGGGUUGUCAAUCCCUUCACGGCCACUUGCAAAAGUGAGAUCUGAUAGAGAGAUAAGAUAAUAUUUUGGUAUUUUUAUGAUAAAGACUAAAAGUAAAGAAAGCAAAAUAAACGGCGCCAGAAAUAGCUUGUUGACGGCAGAUUAAUAUGAUGGAAAAUAGACCCGGGGGGCCAUAGGUUUCACUAGUGGCUUCUCUCAAGAUAGCAUAAGUAUUACGGUGGGUGAACAAAUUACUGUCGAGCAAUUGAUAGAAUUGAGCAUAGUUAUGAGAAUAUCUAGGUAUGAUCAUGUAUAUAGGCAUCACGUCCGUGACAAGUAGACCGACUCCUGCCUGCAUCUAGUACUAUUACUCCACACACCAACCGCUAUCCAACAUGCAUCUAGAGUAUUAAGUUCAUAAGAACAGAGUAACGCUUUAAGCAAGAUGACAUGAUGUAGAGAGAUAAACUCAUGCAAUAUGAUAUAAACCCCAUCUUUUUAUCCUCGAUGGCAACAAUACAAUACAUGUCGUUUCCCCUACUGUCAGUGGGCUCGAGCACCGCAAGAUUGAACCCAAAGCUAAGCACUUCUCCCAUUGCAAGAAAGAUCAAUCUAGUAGGCCAAACCAAACUGAUAAUUCAAAGAGACUUGCAAAGAUAACCAAUCAUACAUAAAAGAAUUCAGAGGAGAUUCAAAUAUUGUUCAUACAUAAUCUUGAUCAUAAACCCACAAUUCAUCGGAUCUCGACAAACAUACCGCAAAAGAAGAUUACAUCGAAUAGAUCUCCAAGAGAAUCGAGGAGAACUUUGUAUUGAGAUCCAAAGAGAGAGAAGAAUCCAUCUAGCUAAUAACUAUGGACCCGAAGGUCUGAGGUAAACUACUCACACAUCAUCGGAGAGGCUAUGGUGUUGAUGUAGAAGCCCUCUGUGAUCGAUGCCCUCUCUGGCGGAGCGCCGGAAAAGGCCCCAAGAUGGGAUCUCACGGGUACAGAAGGUUGCGGCGGUGGAAAUAGGGUUUUGGCUCCGUAUAUGAUGUUUCCAGGGUAUAUGAGUAUAUAUAGGCGAAAGAGGUCGGUCAGGAGAGCUACGAGGGGCCCACGAGGGUAGGGGGCGCGCCUCCCUGCCUCGUGGCCUCCUCUUUGAUUGCUUGACGUCCACUCCAAGUCCUCUGGAUCACGUUUGUUCCGAAAAUCACGUUCCCGAGGGUUUCAUUCCGUUUGGACUCCGUUUGAUAUCCUUUUCCUUUGGAACACCGAAAUAGGCAAAAAAACAGCAAUUUGGGCUAGGCCUCCGGUUAAUAGGUUAGUCCCAAAAAUAAUAUAAAAGUGUAUAAUAAAGCCCAUUAAACAUCCAAAAUAGAAUAUAUAAUAGCAUGGAACAAUAAAAAAUUGUAGAUACGUUGGAGACGUAUCAAUCUUCAACUGGUAUGUAGCCUUCAGUUCAUCCGCUUCCUUGUUCUUCUCCUCCGUCACCUUCUUCUUCUCCUCUAGUGCCUUGCUCUUCUCCUCCUCUGCCCUGUCCUUUUCUUCAUCUUGUAGUUUUUCUACAACCAAUUGGUUGACAAGGGCCACAUUUUCUGCCCUAAUUUUCUCACCACCCUCAGCCAUACUCAACAAUAAUUGCAGAGCUCUUUGCAUAUGAGGUGGGUGCUCUGGAUCAUGCCAAACAACUAAAUUACACACUUCGUGAUCACUACACAUGCAACCAAUGAAUCUUCUACCUGUAUCCACCCCCUCAAAAGCAACAUGUCUAAGUGGAACAAAUCCAUGUUAGCACUUGAGCUUGCUAUCCACCGCGUACCUGCAAAAUCUAGUAUCUUGGAUGGCUUCCGGAAUCCAACCAGUUAUUAGUGCAAGACGCUCUGCCUCAUGGGAAAAUCAUGACCAAAUGCGGGUUUGUCAAUUUGGCGCAAUUUCACCAAAAAUCUCCAAUCCGCUGAAACCCUAGUUCAUCAAUGCAUCCCAACCACCAAACCAAGCAGAAAAUACAAAAUGUUAGCUCUGCAUCUCGAGCGGCCUCCUUCUUGUCGUCGGCCCAGAACAUGCCCUCUUCAUCUGCACAACUCAUGGCCGCAAACUCCGACGAAACCGAGUGGGCAACGGGAAGUGAGGGCCACACUGCCGGUGAUCCGCGGCAGCAGGAGAGAGUAGAUGUUGGUGCGCCGCCGCCUCCUUCCACCACCGACCACCGCCGCCGCCAAAGUUGCCGCCAAAGGUAGCUAGGGUUCGGGCACAGGUCGAUAAAGGGGAUCAAAUGGCGGGUCAAACCGCCUCAGAUCCUUUAGCUAACUGGAGAGAGACGGGCUGAGUCAGUAGUGAAACCGCAUCGGCUAUGCGGAGGGACGAAAAAUGACUGGUUUGGAGAGUUUGUGGUGCAACCUGUCCGGUUUUAGAGUCGAGGGACUAAAAGUGACCAAACUGAAGAGACGAGGGACGAAAAAUGGACUUUUCUCAAAAACAAAUGAAGUUUGUUAAGUCUUUAUUGUUGCUAAAGUACAUUUAGAUGUGCCAUAAGUAUUGCACAUAAUUGUAAUGUAUUAUUAUGAUGUGAUUGCGUAUUGAAAAUGGACGUAUGUUCCCAUUGAAUCUACUUAUUGACCUACAAAAAAGUAGAUUUUAGCCGCCACUUUAGUUUACUUAUUCACUUAUAAGAUAAAACAUAAUUGAUAAGACUUAUAAAAUAAAACAUAACCGAUAAGACGUACUUCAUCUCACAUCUAAAUUCUAUGUCAUUGAUUUUACGUGAAGAUUCGUAUUUUGUUAUGAUGUGAUUACAUAUUGAAAAUGGACAUAUGUGCCCGUUGAAUCUACUUAUUGAGAUAAAAAAACAUGCUUUUAUUUGACAUUAUUCAAGUCAAUAAGAUGUGGAAGAAUUCUUUUAGUGUUAAUGUGGUUACGUAUCAAAUGUAGAUUUUAGCUGGUAAUUGAAUUUAGUUAUUGACUUAUAAAAUAAAAAUAACCGAUAAGAUGCGAUGUUGAUUCAGUAGCCACAAACGACAAUAGAAUGGGAGAUUAGACUAUGAGGAAGAAGACAUUAUAUCAGAACGGAUAAAAAUGGAUAAGCAGAGACCCAUCUAGGCCUCUAUGCCGAUAACAUGUGGUUUUUCAGUUCUAGAGAUGGUUCGACACGAAGGGAGGGUAAUAGCGCAGCCACUCUUUUAGGAUUAAAGGUGGCAAUGGAGUAAAGUCGUGUAUCUUGAUUUGACGAGCUAAUCAGAUCACACAUGAAUCACAGGUGGGCACUCAAUUUUGUCUUUGCUGCAAUGGAUCCCGGUUUAUAUCAAGGGUGCCAUUCAUCAGACAUACUAUUCAAAUGUUGCUAUAAAUAUCACCAACUAUUUAGUACGACACUGACAGCAUAACAAUCUCGCCCAAAAAUGGUUCACAUUGACUUAGACAAUUAAGCAACUAGUCUAAGCUCUAAGAUAUACCGGUCCAUCCACAUUAAGUCGAUUGGGAUUGAUUUUCUUAUGUCCAAGUCUGAUUCUAAAAGAUGGAACGUUAAUUUAAUGAAACCCCACAACUUCAAGUUCUUUUUUUUUACAAAGAUACACUUUUUCUGGAAAAUAAGUUGCUAUUUCCAGUAUCCUUAAACUAUGCUAAAAGCCACCCUUUUCUGAAAUGUGGCGAGAAUCAAAGACUUUUGUCUUAAUUUGGCAACCUAAUCAAGUCACAAAAGACUCACAGAUGGGCACUCAAUUUUUCCCUUGCUGUAGCAGAUCUUGGAUUAUAUCAUCAAGGGUGCCAUUCAUCACACAUACUAUUGGAUCGCCGCUAUAAAUAUCACCAACUACUUACCACAACACCGACAACAUAACAAUCUCAUCAAAAAAAUUGUUUACAUUGACUUGGACAAUUGAACAACUAGCCUAAGAUAUAUAACUGUCCAUCUACAUUUAAGUCCACCGAGGUUGAUUUUCUUAUACUAUCGGAAAAAUGCAACUGAGUUUAUUUUUAGUUAAACACACAACUUCAAGUGUUUCUUUUACUAUAACUAUAAGCUAUACACAAAAGUCGCAGUUUUGAGCAUACUUGAACUAUGCAAGAAUCACCGUUUUCUGAAAUGCAUUCACAUGUACCAAAAUUCUCAAGCGAACCAACCGAAGAUAUAGAUAGUACUACCUCUUCUCUUUUGGGGGAAUCUGCUAGUUAUGGCAAAGGCAAUAAAUAAAUUGCAUGCAUUUUUUGAGAGUUCCGUGAGGCCCAUGCCACCAUGAAACCCUGAGAUCCGCCUACUUCCCCGGCUCGUCCAAAAACUGCCCGGGCAGCCGUUUCACCUCACCUCUGUCGGCAAGCCUUGUGCUGGGCAGACACCAGUGGCGUGUGGGAAGAAGAAGACGCAAAAACCGUAGGUAGGGUCCCAGCUCCCAAGUUUUGCCAUCCCCAGCUGGUUGCCAUCCCAAGUUUUGACGCACGCCACGGCCAUGUACCGCUCUCCAACGAAGCGUAUGCGAUCGCUGUGCGGGUCGGGGCACGCGGCGAGAUUGAUGUCGGCUCCCCCGUUUGUGAUGGCAGACAUGAUCUGAGACCUGAGUGUGAGCAACUUUUAUUGCCCGAGAAGUGUGAGGGAUGCACUAAAACCGUGGUACCCAAACGUCAACGAGCACAAGACACGGAAGAUUUCUCUGAUGCUGCUACCAGCGGUGUCAAUCACUAUGAUGGCGUGGGCGAGUGAAAGGGAAGCCAGGCUUCUAUGUAAACUGUACACGCAUACCUCCUUUUGGCCGCAGUUAUCCUUUCAUUUGUAUGUACACAUCAAAUAGUUAAGGGUUGCAGAUUCACUCUCCGUCAGUUGCACAGGCAAAACUGACACGUUCUCCUUCCAUGGAGGUCUACAAGGGUGCUUCACUAGCUUGGCGUCUUGGCCUUCCAGCACCACCAUUUCCAGAAGCUAAAUACAACUUCUCCCAAAACCAAGUCUGAAACCGACACGACAAAGGCCGAGGCACCCUCUUGGCUAAUAAUUAGGCACCCCAGGCUAACACAGGCUAGCUAGCAUCAUUAGAGUCUAACCUCAGUGUUUUCCAGCCACAAACCUCCAUCUAGUAUUAGUUAAGCUACUAUCUGAAGACUACAGAGACCACACAUUUACGAAAAACAACACAGAUCCUCAACUGAAGCGUUAAAACAACACGAGUCUUCUCAGCAUACAGAAAACUACAUUAAGGUAGCAUCACCUCAGCCUUAGUAAGUCGCAUGUUCAAGCAAGAGGCAAGUAACGGAGCUGAUUCAUUUCUAAUUUCAAGAACCCUGUCCAUGUACAAUCAUGCCAGAAAUGCCUACCUGACAGUGUAUAUUGAGCACCGAAGGGACUCGAGCCCUGCUGCGGUUCACAUGUUCUUCUCAUCAUGGUCCUGCUAAAAUGAUCAACCCUGCAUAACGAACCAAGCCCAGCGAUAAAAAAAAAAGAAUAAGAGAAAUUUUAUUUCCGGAUCCAAAAUGGGCAAGAUGAUUCCAAUCAACAGAGCAGACAAUAGCAACUUAACAAUGAAACAUCCAGAUACAAUUGUUACUGAGUUAUGGCUGAAAACAUCAUCACAUGGAUGGCCCAGCUAAUGGAGAAACACUUGGCCCAGCUAAUGGAGAAACACUUAUGCAACACAUGUAAGCAGCAUAAGCAGACGCAACCAAACUGACCCCAUGCAAUAAUUAACAAGCGGGCCAAAGGAUAAAGCUACAACUUCAAUCUGUCAAGGUCAAGAAGCAAUCUAGAACUAUUAAUGACAAAAUCAGAACUCGGUGCAGUUGUGUAGACGCGUUCUGAUUCAUUGAUAAGGCAGCGAGCAUGACGUACAGUUCACCUAACAUGUUGUUUGCCCAAGAUCCCACAAGAACCAUGACAUAAUUAGUGGGACAAAAUGAUCCAAGCUAGACUCUCAAUGUUUAAAACUAUUAGUAUAAUUCAGUAACACGUGUAACAGAGAUAAAAAACAACAGUCUAAACAUGAUACAAGAUGCAGUUCACAUGUCCUUCUUUCAUUUAUUUUUAUUUUUUCUUGAGAAUCACGUCCUUUUUUCAUAGUACUGCUAAAAUGAUCAAUCCCCAUAUAAUGAACCAGGCCCAGCAAAGAAAUGUUAGCAAGGCCCAAAGAAGAUUAUAUUUCCGGAUCCAAAAUGGGCAAGCUGAUUUCAUUCAACAGAUUCAGACAAUACCGACUUAACGAUGAAACACCCAGAGACACUCGUCACAAGUUAUGGGCUUAUGUCUCAAAACAUCAUCACAUGGAUGGCCCAACUCCCGGAGAAACACUAGAAUUAUGUGACACAUGUAAGCAGCAUAUGUAGACACAAUCAAACUGACCCCAUACGAUAAUCAACAAGUGGGCCAAAGAAUAAAGCUACAACUUGAACCAAUCAAGGCCGAGAAGCGAUCUGGAACUGUUAAUGACAACAUCAGAACUCAGUGCAGUUGUGUAGACGCGUUCUGAUUCAUUGACAAAAAUGACCAUGACAAACAACACACAUGCUGUUUGCCCAAGAUCCGAGAAGAACCAUGACGAAAUUAGUGCAACAAAAUGAUCCAAGCUAUAUUCUCAAUGUUCAAACUACCAGUAGUACAAUGCAGUAACAAAUGUAACAGAGGCAAUAGAGCAGUCUAAUCAUAGUAGUUGCAGCACAAACUCAACCAACUAAAAGGUUUCAAUCUUUUCCCAUGAAACAUCAGUGCAGAAGAAGAACCUUGGUAAUGUAAGAGCAAGACAAACCACAUGACUCUAAACAUGAGGCAGCAUUACAAGAUGCAAGCCUGAGCUAUCACAAAUCUCAAAAACUAAAGAAAAUACACAUUUACGAAAAACAACACAGAUCCUCUAUUGAAGCGUUAAAACAACAUGAAUUUUUCAGCAUACAAAAACUAGCAUCACCUCAGCCUUAGUAAGUCCCAUGUUCUAGAACAAUGCCAGUAACGGCUCUUAUUCAUUUAUAAUUUCAAGAACCCUGUACAGUCAUGCUAUAAAUGCCUACCUGACGGUGUAUAUUGAGCACCGAUGAGACUCAAGCCCUGCUGCGAUUCACAUGUUCUUUUUCAUGGUCCUGCUAAAAUGAUCAACCCUGUAUAAGAAAUCAGGCCCAACGAUCAGACGAAGCAAGAAACGUUAGCAAGCCCCAAGCAAAAUGUUAUUUUCUUGAUCCAAAAUAGGAAAAGUUGAUUUCAUUCAACAGAUUCAGACAAUACCGACUUAACGAUGAAACACCCAGUCCCAGAGAAAACUUGUUACAAGUUAUGGCUCAAAACAUCAUCACAUGGAUGGCCCAACUAAUGGAGAAAAACGUAUGCAGCACAUGUAAGCAGCCUACUUAGGCACAACCAAACUGACCCCAUGCGAUAAUUACCAAGCAGGCCAAAGGAUAAAGCUACAACUUCAAUCUGUCAAGGUCAAGAAGCGAUCUAAAACUAUUAAUGACAACAUCAGAACAAGGUGCAGUUGUGUAGGCGCGUUCAUUGAUAAGGAGAUGAGCAUGACGUACAGCUCACCUGAACACAUGUUGUUUGACCAAGAUCCCACAAGAACCAUGACAUAAUUAGCGCAACAAAAUGAUCCACAAGUGCGACAAAAUGAUCCAGGCUAGAUUCUCAAUGUUCAAAACUACCAGUAGUACAAUGCAGUAACAAAUGUAACAGAGAGGCAAUACAACAGUCUAAACAUCGUAGUUGCGGCACAAACUCUACCAUCUAGCAGGCUCCAAUCUAAUUUCAAGAAACAUCGGUUCGGAAGAAGAACCAUGGUAAUGUAAGAGCAAGACAAUCCCCAUGAUUCUAAACAAGAGGUAACAUUACAAGAUGCAAGACCGAGUUAUCACAUUUCCCCUCCAGUUCUCCUUGACUCCAUGUGUACAGGCACUGGGGCUGCAAGCCCAGGCUUGCCAUUGGCACUCUUCUUGCUGUUUGCAGCCUUCGUCUCAGCAGCCUCGGUAGAACUCGAGCUCUCAGAGCUCUCAUCAGCCUCGGUGUUGUCCUCAUUACCGCGGAAACCUACCUUCCUGUUCACAGUUGGGCGAUUCAUCCCAUGACAACCUUCAGGAUAAUCGUCGAAUGCGCCAUCCAUGCCCAUCUCCUCCUGCUCUUUGAGGAGCACCUUGUCAACGAACUCCAGUAUCCUGCCGAGCUCCCGGCUCACGGCGUGCUUCCCCUCCCGGAUCAUGGGGUCCCCUCCCUGGUCCGAAACCCACCAUCAAAACCAGACACACCAAUGGCAUAACUGAUGGAACCGAACAGAGGUCGUUGCAUCACCUGGAUCCCGUCGAGGCGGUAGAGCAUGCCCAGGGCGGCCUCCGAGAUAGCCAUCGGGUCCUUGCACCGGCGGCGGCCGGAGCCGGAGAGGGACGCCCGGAGAGACGCGGCCUUGGAGCGGAGCAUGGCGAGCUCCUUGAGCUGGCGCAGCGUGCGGGAGCGCCGCGCCAGGAAGCGCCGGAAGUGCUCCUGGAUGGUGCGCGCCGCGAGCUCCCUCUCGGUCGGCGGCUGCGGCCCCCGGCGCGCGCGACGCGGCGGGGGCGAGGGCGAGCGCGAGCGCGGGCCCUCCUGGUGCGCGCCCGCGCGGUGGUGCCGGCGAGGGUUGGGCUGCUGGGGGUGCGGCGCGGGAGGGGAGGGGAAGCAGUGCGGCAAGGUCGUCUCGAGCGCGGCCACGCGGCGCAGGAGAGAGUGGAGCAGGAGCUGGCCGUGGUCGGGCGGGUUCGGCUGCUGGUGCUGAUGCUGCGGCGGCGGCGGCGCAGGGGCGGCCGCGGGCGGCUGGGGAUAGGCCGCGUGGGGGGCGGAUCCCGGCUGCUGCUGGUGCUGGUACUGGUAAGCGUAGGAGGCGUAGAGAUUCGCGUGGUGCGCGGCGGGAUUCGGCGGCGGCUGAGGGUGGGGCUGGUGCUGCGGGUGGGGCUGGGGCGGCGGUUGGGCCUGGGGCGGCGUGGGAGGCGGGGGAGCGGAGCUUAGCAGGAGAUGCGCGGCGAUGGCGUGGAGGAGCUGGUCCGACGCGGGCGCCGGCUGGGGAGGCGGCGCGGGGUAGUAGCCGCACGGCGCCGGGGCGGGGGCCGGCGGGGAGCAGCCGCAGGCGCAGGCGCAGCAGGAGCAGCAGGGCGGCGGGGCCGGGUCGUGGUGGUGGUGGCGAGACAUUUCCUGGGGGCGAGGGGCGAUGGGAUCGGCGCGGGGACGGAGUGCGGGCGGAGGCGGCGGGGGAUCACAUCGGCAAGGCGUCAAGGGAAAGGGAGCGGGGGAGGAAGUGUGCGCGAGUGGGAGUGGCGCCCCCGUCCCCAUGUGCGUGCCCGCAGGGGGUGCCGGCCACGGCGUGGGUCGCCGACUGGUGGGGCGCGCUCUGACGUCGCCAGGGUUUAUCCAUAGAUCUGCUCACAAGGCACGGAAAUCAAGCAGCCCGUGGGUUUGCACGGGCUCGCACGAAGUGUGUUUGGUGAGGGUUUGGGGACUGGACUGUUCUGUUGUGCCACUGCCCAGUGCUGUCAGGUCGUGCCAUUUCCGGCACAUACCGAUUCAGCCAAUCCAACGGUCCAAGAGACUCCUCAAGCUACUUUCGUCGUCAACCGUUAGAUUUACUUUCCGUUAUUGUUACUAUUCAUGCUCCGCUGUUUACCGCGAGGCAUCCACCUACUUAACAGCCGGGUUGUGGCUGAGCUGGGCAUCGGAUCUUCCAGAAUUCCUCUUACAGCCUGUUUGGUAAACACUUAGGCAGAGGAAUGGGAGUUUGCACAAGGGUGUUUAUGAAGGGAUUAGUCAUGGGAAGUAGAUUUUUACUCCCAUUCCCUUGUUUGGUAUAUGAUGGGAAUUAGCGUGGGAUAAAACUCUGCUCACGAAUUAACAAGGUACCCCCGGGAAGAAAUAGGUGGGAAUUGGCUUCCUCAACUCCCAUUCCCCUUCCUACUUAAACUCCCAUUCCCUCUAAUCAAACAGUGGACUUUUAAUCUCCCCACCUCUCAACUCCCAUUCCCCAUCUCGAAUUCCCCCGAACCAAACACGCUGUUAGGGAUGAACCCUAAACGUAUAUGGCACAGCCGAUGGUAAUAUAGCUCCCAAAUCGGGGUCUCUUUCCUCGCAAUUCUCUGAAAUUCGUCCACACAAAUCUCUACUCUGAUCUCGUAGAACAACUAGGUCCUGACAAAUUGGUAAUCGGAGCAGUGGUUCCUCGGUAGCUUCUGAUCGGAUCAAUUUUUUUCCAAGAGAGGCAAGAAUACCCACCCAAUUCCCUCCCUGUGUUGUGUGGUGAUGGCGGGCGACGAUUGAGGCGAGCGGUGGAGGCGUGCCUUCACUGCGACGUCAGGCGGCGGCGGAUCCAGGGCGGCGCAGGAGGCGGUGUUCGUUCGGGUGCAGAUCAGUAGCGCGGAGUGGUUGUGCUGGAUCCCUUCCAGCAAGGUAAAAUUCCACGUCCUUCGCUGAUCCGUGUACCUUGGUGGCGUGGAGCUUUGGCGGCGGCAGGAUCUGGAAUUGAGAUGCUGGUUGCCGCAUCUGCGGUGGUAAAAUUCCCCCUCUCUUCUCUGGAUCAAGGUGAUGGGGCGCUCGAAGGCAAUUGAUGAGGCCGAGUGGCAAGAGGUCCUCUCUCUUCGAGAUGAAUUUGGUGCGGUUCAACAGGAAAACGCAACGAUGCGAACUGAUGUGUCAAAAUUACAGGAAGAUGUUCAGUCAAUUAGUUCCAAACAAGGCGAAAUAGCUCUACAAGUUGGAGGAAUUGAAAAAGUUGUGUUAGAUCUGGGGAAACAAUUGUCCACGAUGAGUUCGGUCUUGCAGAAAUUAGUGGCUCCAUCUGGGUCAGGAACUAGAGCAGAGAAACAACCUGAGAAAGACCACCUAGCAGAACUGAACAGUUGAGGCAACAAUUAGAAGCGGAAAAGGAAAAGACCAGACAACUGGAAGAGAUACACAUGCAGAAAUUACCUCCAAUCAGGACUGGCAGAACUACAGCACCACCUGGUUUUGGAGCUCAUGCUAACUUGGAAACAGCAAGUGCUAUGGGAACACCAGUAACACAAAGAAGGGGAGAUCAUACUCCUGCUUUCCAACAAUAUCAGCAACCAGCUAGAGACAGACAGUUGUGGCAGGAUUACUUUAGAACCUAUGAGCAGGAUAUGCAGGUUCAGUUCAUGAAAGCAAUGACAAAAGGUCCAAGGAUGGAUUUUCCUAGAUUUUCUGGUGAAGAUCCUGUUGGCUGGAUUCGACAGUGCAACAAGUACUUCCAAAUGGCAGGAGCACCUGAAGAAUAUAAGGUAUCACUCUCUCAAAUGUACAUGACAGGAGAUGCUGAUGUAUGGUUGAGGAGAUCUGGCCUACUCAAGAAACAACUGUCAUGGCAAGAAUUUGGAAAAGAAAUCAUUAAGAGAUUUUCUGCCCAAGGCUCUUAUGACCUCACUGAACAAUUCACUUCUCUGAAACAAGGAAGCAAUUCAGUGUCAGAGUAUACCAAGAUGUUUGAAGAUUUAAUGGCUGAACUGCAGGAGGAAAAUCCUACAUUAUCUGAACUCUGGUUUGUAAAGUGCUAUGUUAAUGGGAUGAGAGAUGGAAUUAAGUACCAAUUGAGACUUCUUAGACCCACUUCCCUAACUGAUGCCUACUGUUUGGCAAAAGAGAUUGAACCUUGUCACCCCCCUCCUGUGACACAUAUCAAGAAGUCAACAACUCCUUACAAUAACUACUGGCAGAAAAAUGUAGUGCCCACAGCAGGGAAACAGGUGAUCAACACUGCAACAGCUCCAACAACUAGUAACACAAAGAACAAUGAACAUGUUAACAGUCAUAUUCAGAAAAGCAGGAAAGCAGGUGAAUGUUGGAGGUGUGGAGAUAAGUGGUUUCAUGGCCACAAAUGCACUUUAGUACCUAAUGUGCACAUGUUACAGCAAGAAAUGGAAGAAACUGGUCCAUAUGAAACUGACAUUGAUCAACAGGAAGUAGUAGAGGAAGGAACAGAACAGCAAGAGCAAGCAAUGUUUAUCUCUGCACAUGCUAUGGGCCAGUAGCUUGUUGUACAAUCUCCUACAGUAAUAGUGUAUGUCAAUGGAAAAAGAGCAGUAGCACUACUGGAUUCAGGCAGUUCAACUUCUUUUAUCAGUGAACAGUUUGCUAUUAAAUCAAACUGUCAAUUGCUCCUUGUCAGACCUAGAACGGUAUCAGUAGCUAGAGGAGGUCUGCUGCUUUCUGCUGCUGUAGUUCCCAAUUGUGCUUUUCAACUAGCCAAGUUGAAGUUGGAGGUAAUGUUAGGUCACGGUAUCUGAAGAUUAUUCUUCAGUUAACUGUGCCAUUUCCGGCACAUACCGAUUCAGCCAAUCCAACGGUCCAAGAGACUCCUCAAGCUACUUUCAUCGUCAACCGUUAGAUUUACUUUCCGUUACUGUUACUAUUCACACUCCGCUGUUUACCGCGAGGCAUCCACCUACUUAACAGCCGGGUUGUGGCUGAGCUGGGCAUCGAAUCUUCCAGAAUUCCUCUCAGGGAUGAACCCUAAACGUAUACGGCACAACCGAUAGUAAUAUAGCUCCCAAGUCGGGGUCUCUUUCCUCGCAAUUCUCUGAAAUUCGUCCACACAAAUUACUACUCUGAUCUCGUAGAACAACUAGGCCCUGACAAGUGCCCGACGAUUCACUCGUUCUUUGUCCCCUCCACAAAAGCCUCGGGGCCUUUUCGAUCCUAAAUGAACGAUAAAUUUUGUUUCUCAAAUACGCGUGUCAUUUAUUCAAGAUUGAUAUGGACCAAAGACAGUAGAAUUUGCUUGAAAAAUACAGGAAUAGUCGUUUGAAUGGAACAUAGACAAACACAGGAAAGUAGUCUCGAUCCUACAUGACUGACUUUUAAAAUGGGUUCCAGUGGAUGCUCUAAUUUCUAUGGAAUAGAAUGUGAGUGCCAACAUUCAUUUGAUCCAAAGGCAAUCCACUAAUCCUUAGGAAAGAAAUCCUGUAAAAUCCUUGCAGUCCAAAGAGCGCCUGAAAGAUUUGUCCGGACCACCCAUGCUGAACAACGAGAGGGCAGACGACUGAUUUGUGCCAGCGGAGGUGGCGGGGUGAUCGCAGUCAAUAUGCAGCAGCCACACGAUCAUCCCCAGGCACACACCGCGGGGGCCCAGAUCGGCAGACUACUUUCAGUUUCAGCUAACAACGGACUGAUGACACAGAGGGAACAAUCGAAGCGAAACACGUGAUUCUGAACCUAAAUGAGCAGACUCAUAACAGUUCGUCGGGUAUCCGAGCACAACAGAAGCUGUACAACAGCACAGGUCAAGUCAGUGAACACCAACCAGCAACCAACACAGCUCUUCAGCAUAUAUAUGGGUGUUCUGUUCCAGGCCUCUAGGGCAAAGACUACAGGGCGAAAAGAAAACAAAGCAGCAGCUAACUUGCACAUCAAUCUUCCUUCUUGAAAAAAUUGUCCGGCAAGGCGAAUUCUUCAGUCUGGCCGAAGUUAUCCUUCUCGUCGUCGUCUGGUUUCUGCAUUUGGUUUAACAAAACCGUGUGUAAAAAUAACGUCCAUACUCCCGAAACUAAGGAAAAGGAAGAUUAAAGUAAACAUGUCUUCAAAAGACAAGCUCUCAUUUGAGUCAGCGUCGAUGCAAAACAAUCACAAAAGCUAAAAGAGAAGCAGCAACAAAGUAGUCCAAAUCGAUGAGUGUUUCAAUCACCAGCAUCUCUAGGUUGAAGAAGCGGUCCAGCAGUUGCAGAACUUCAUCCGCGGAGAAUUGUCUGUCAAGGCUGAAAGAAUUCAUAGGUUGUCAGCCCAGAUCCCGCUAAUUUCAUGGAACCGCAAACUGAAGAAUUCUCAUAUGGUCACCUUUUUCUCAAGUAUUCCAUGAGGCCGUAUAGAAUGAAGUGGCGAUGAAUGCCUACAAGCACACAAGCUUUAGAAUGCAUACUGAACAAAAAUAUACACAAAAUUCUCCAUCAGCAUUUCAACAGCUGUAUCCUGUAUGUAACAAACAUCUGCAAAACCAUUUUUUGCCAAAACACCCAGUGCCAAGGCAGGACACAGGAUCAGUGUGCAAAAGCUUGUAGCUCUGUGAGUUGAGCUAGUUCUGUGUCCGAUUGUUUUUUUCUGAAGUUCUUUUCCUAUAUUCACCUUGUAUGCAAGCAUUGACAUGUUAACAAAAACAGUGCGCGCACACACACACACACAAUUAACACUAGGAGGACAUUUCUUUCAGAACUUUAAACCAUAAAUUUUACUUUUGUGACAGAUCUGAAAACGCUCCAAAGAAAUCCAUACUCAACACUUUCUAAUUGCAUGCACUCAAAGGACCAAUCUAUGCCAGCUAGAGCUAGCUGAGUACAGCUUUCAACAGACAGUUGGAUGCCCCUCCGAAAGAAGAAACUUAUGCAUACAGCCGUACCCCAAUUAUAUAUGGAGGGAUGGCUGUCUUCCUCCAUGGUUGCUGGCCCCCAUGACAGAGUGCAAUUAAAAGACAAAUGAAUGACUAGCCACUCCUUAAAAUCUCAUCAAAUCCAGCAAAAAGCAAUCAAGAUCAAGCACACUACAGAAAAAAGGUGUCGAUAUCUUCUAAGUUUCUUUUGAUCUCUACACUACAUAAUAUUGUAAGUUUGAAUAUCUAUUCCUAAAUAAUCCUGUGCUCGUUUCGAGCUGCGAAAUAAGAUCUCCUAAAUGUAGCAACUUUGUCAAAUUAGGAUAAUACAGCCUGUGUGUACCAUAUUCUAAAGUUAAAUGUUUAAUGCUAAUUGACCGCACAGAGAUUAAAACUUAGCCCCAGCAAUUCUAGUUACAUAAUAGAUUUAUGCAAAGCCUCGCCAGCACUGCUCGGAAGGGCGAGCCUAGUACAGUGGUACAGUCUCUCCACUUGUGGCCUCGAGGUCUUGGGUUCGAACCGGCCUCCAUGCAUGAAGCUUAUGGGGCUAUUUGGAUAUAGCCGGGAGUUGCCGCACCAAAAAAUUGGCGUUGACCUGUAGGAUUGGCUGCCGCUUGGAUGGGGGCCAAAAUUUCGGAACCAUGCCAAAAAGUUAGUUCGCAGUUCAGAUCUUACGCAGGCACGCGGGCGAAAUGCUGGUGGCGGAUUUGCUCGUCAAUAUAUUGGUGCGCCAAGUAUUGGUAGGGCGCGCAUGGGCUGAAUCCAAACGGGCCCUUCAGCACUGGGUACGCCCCUCGCCAGCACUGCUCGCCAUGUUUCGUGGUUUCUUUUCUGCUGUUAAACUUGGUAAUUGAUGAUAGACUAUUCUUCUUAGUUGGAUGCCCUUCCAAAAGAAGCAAUUUAUGCAUACAGCCGUACCCCAUUACAUAUGGAGUGAUGGCUGUCUCCAUCCAUGGUUGCUGGCCCCCAUGACAGAGUGCGAUUAAAAGGCAAAUGAAUGACUAGCCACUCCUUACAACCUCAUCAAAUCCAGGAAAAAGCAAUCAAGACCAAGCACACUACAGAAAAGAGGCAUUGGUAUCUUCUAGGUUUCUUCUGAUCAUGUGCUUGUUUGAACAUCUAUUCUUAAACAAUCAUGUGCUUGUUUCCUAAAUGUAGCAACAGGAUCUCCUAAAUGUAGCAACUUUGUCAAACGAGGAUAAUACAGCUUGUGUGCACCAUAUUCUAAAGUUCAAUGUUUAAACUGACAGCAGUGAGAUUAAAACUUAGCCCCAGAUAUUCUAGUUACAUAAUGGAUGCAAAGGCUCGCCAAAGCACUGCUCGGAACGGUGAGCCUGGCGCAGUGGUAGAGUCGCUCCACUUGUGGCCUCGAGGUCUUGGGUUCGAACCGGCCUCCUUGCAUGGAGCUUUCGGGGCUAUUUGGCUUAUAGCCGGGAGUCGCCGCACCAAAAAAUUGGCGUUGACCUGUAGGAUUGGCUGCCGCUUGGAUGGGGGCCAAAUUUCGGAACCAUGCCAAAAAAUUGGUUCGCAGUUCAGAUCUUACGCAGGCANNNNNNNNNNNNNNNNNNNNNNNNNNNNNNNNNNNNNNNNNNNNNNNNNNNNNNNNNNNNNNNNNNNNNNNNNNNNNNNNNNNNNNNNNNNNNNNNNNNNNNNNNNNNNNNNNNNNNNNNNNNNNNNNNNNNNNNNNNNNNNNNNNNNNNNNNNNNNNNNNNNNNNNNNNNNNNNNNNNNNNNNNNNNNNNNNNNNNNNNNNNNNNNNNNNNNNNNNNNNNNNNNNNNNNNNNNNNNNNNNNNNNNNNNNNNNNNNNNNNNNNNNNNNNNNNNNNNNNNNNNNNNNNNNNNNNNNNNNNNNNNNNNNNNNNNNNNNNNNNNNNNNNNNNNNNNNNNNNNNNNNNNNNNNNNNNNNNNNNNNNNNNNNNNNNNNNNNNNNNNGCGCCAGGUAUUGGUAGAGAGCGCGUAGGCUGAACUCAAACGGGCCCUUCAGCACUGGGUACGCCCCUCGCCAGCACUGCUCGCCAAGUUUCGUGGUUUCUUUUGUGCUGUUAAACUUGGUAAUUGAUGGUAGACUAUUCUUCUUAGUUGGACGCCUUUCCAAAAGAAGCAAUUUAUACAUACAGCCGUACCCCGUUAUGGCUGUCUUCAUCCAUGGUUGCUGGUGUGGUGGCGCCCAUGACAGAAUGUAAUAAAAGGACAAUGAAUGACUAGCCGCUCCUUAAAAUCUAAUCAAAUCCAGCAAAAAGCAAUCAAGACAAAACACACUAAAUAAAAGAGGUGCCAGAGUCUUCUUAGUUUCUUUGGUUCUCUAUGCUACAUAAUGUUAUAAGUUUGAACAUCCUAUUCCUAAACAUGCACUCAUUUCAAGCUAUGAAAUAAGAUCUCCUAAAUGUAGCAACUUCGUCAAAUGAGGGCAGUACAGCUUGCGUGUACCAUAUUUAAUAUAAAUCAUAGGUGGUAAGCAUAAAAGAUGACGAAGUUCAGUGUUGUAUGUCAAUUGAGUACAGUGUGAUUGAAACUUAGCCCCAACAAUUAUAGUUACAGAAAGGAUUUAUGCAAAGGUUGGGCAGCAUUCUUUGCCAUGUUCUGUGUGUUUCUUGUUUGCUGUUUAACUUGGUACUUGAUGGUACACUAUUCCACAUUUCAGUUUUUAGCGGUGUCAUCACGACAAGUAAAACAGUGCUUCUGAAAUAGUUUUGUUUUGGAAAGGUCUCUUACUCUGGAACUACCAAGUAUCUAAAUUACAGGAAAUGGUUGGCUCUUAAGCCUGACCAAGCAAGGCUUUAUGAGUUAUGACACACUCAGAGUAUACUCGGUUAAAUGCAGGUUCUGGUAUUAUUAUUUUUGUUGUUGUGUAAAAUGAAAGUAUUUAGUUGUUUCCCCAUUUUUCACAACAGUAAUGAUAAAGGAGGCCCUGUAGGGGAACACAGCUCGCCUGAAAUUCUGUAUUUCCUCAGAGGCCCAUCUUCCUCACAUACUAAACUAUUCCCUCCGUCCCAUAAUAUAAGUGCUUUUUUUAAACUAGUGUAGUGUCAAAAACGCUCUUAUAUUAUGGGACAAAGGGAGUAAGUAUAAAGAAUGGACACAGAUAGAUGCGUUACUGGUAUCCACAACGGCGAAGCAUCACACCUUUCAGUUUGGAGGGAGGGUAGAACUCGAGAGCCUGGAGCAGCCUCAGCUCCAACUCCACCUGCGACUGCUCCUGCGACACGAGGGAAACGCAUCAGGCCACGAGACCACGCGCGAUCUUCAGAGGUGAAAACAGAGGAGGGGGUGAGGCGGGGGAGGGGGCGGGGGAGUCGGGAGGAACCUUUGGAAGGGAGGACGCUGAUGAAGGCGGCGCCUGCGCCGGCGACUGCGCGGACAGCCCCUCCUGCUCCUCGUCGGCGGCCGCCUCCAUACCCGAACCCUUCACGUGCGCCACCACGAAAUUGGUUGGGGAGCCCGGUGAGCGAGACGAAGAGACUGUGGUGGGUCGGGUCAGGCUUAGAGGAAGCACGGAACAAGGUGGGUGCUGGCCUACCAACGGCCCAUUGUUGUUCAACUGUAGGCCGUGUGGGUAUGAGGGGAAGCCCAGGUUGAGUCAAACCCUAUUCCGCGCCUUAAGCUUCAGUUACAGGUUGAGGUUUGUCUCAAAAAAAAAAAAGUUACAGGUUGAGGUAAAUACAUUUUCCAAAUACACUAGAAGUCUUAGAAUUUGCGCGCAACGUUCAGUUUGACGUAUAAACUUGCGUGUUUCUGGUCAUCUAACUUGCGCGGACAUGCAAAUACGGUCACAUUUUCCAUACAUGGGUGUAUUUCCUGCCUACGUAGCACGCCAGCAUGGCCAGGGCCGAUGUUUUUUUAAAGAAAAACCCUCGUUUUUUUACUUUGAAUAAAAGCACUACAACAAUAGUUGCCCGCUGGGUCCCAUCGUCAGUGUAAGUUGUAAAUAUAUUGGGUCCAUUGUCAGUGGCUAGUGCACGUGAUGUUUUUUUUUUAGUUUUUACUUUGUACAAAAGCACUCCAACAAUAGUUGUCCGCUGGGUCCUACGGUCAGUGUAAGUUGUAAAUAUAUUGGGCUGGAAAAAAUGGGACGAGCGAGUUCUGACCAACGACCUAUUGGAAUGGAGCUAGCGACCUAUCCACCGCAACUGAUCGUACUUGGUAUUUUAUUUGGACUACUAAGGUAUAUAACCUUUAAAAUAAAAGUACACAUUCUGAAUAUAUUUUCCAAUUUAAAAUUAUUGGAAUUUGAACAAAAUUUCCGUUGAUUUGUUCGAAAGAAAUUUACGUACAUUCAUUAUGAACUAUAUUUCUUUUAUAUAGGUUAUUCAAAUUCAAAUAAAAAUUAGUUGAUUUGUCUGAAAAAUCACGCACAUUCAUUAUGACCCAUAUUUUCUUUUAUCUAGAUUUUCAAAUCUAAAGUUAUUUGAAUGCAAACAUUUUUUUAUAUUUGUCCCAAACAAAUUCGUAUAUUUAUUGGGCACUAUAUUUCCUUUUAUCCUUAUUUUCAAAUUUUAAAUUAUGUUAAUCAAAUAGGGCUGGACGAAAAGCUCGAAGCUCGCGAGCGUAAUGAGCGCUCGAUAGUUCGGCUCGUUUCAGCUCGUGCUCGUUAGUAAAUGAGCAAGUCGAACCGUACUUUUUGCUCGUUAAGAUUAACGAGCUUAACGAGCGAGCAAACGAUUUUCACGAGCUAACUCAUUUAGCUCGAUACUUUUCAAAAGUUUGAUACGAGACCCCGAGUUCAAAUCAGCACAUACUAACAAAAGAGUUGAUAAUUAGCCCAGACUAGGGGUUCGACACUUCUCCUAGACCUAGGAGCAUGCCGAGAGGAGACCCUAGAGUCAACCAAGAUCCAGCCGCCGGGAACCAAAUGCCUUGUUCAAUUUAUACCGUUGUGAAUUUUUAAUGGGAUCAUGGGAUCCUUUUAUGUUGUUUAUUACCAUAAAAUAUUUGUUUAAUUUAUUCCAUUGUGAAUUUUUUAUGGGAUCAUGAGAUUCUUUUGUGUUGUUUAUUACCUUAAUGAGCACUCAUGAACGCUCGCGAGCAUAACGAGCCCAUAACGAACCGAGCCGAACAGAGGUUUUAGCUCGUUAAUAUUCGUGAGCUUAAUAAUAACAAACUUAACGAUAAUGAGCUUAAUGAUAACGAGCCAAACGAGCCGAGCAGCUCGUUGAUCCAGCCCUAUCAAAACAAAAAAAAAGAUGAUUUUUUCCAAAAAAUGAUGUACAUUAUUCUUCACAUAUAAUUUCUUUCAGCUAGAUUUUGAAUUCAUAAUAAAUUAUGUUGAUUUGUCCGAAAGAAAUUUACGUAUAUUCAUUAUGAACUAUAUUUUAUUUAAUUUAGAUUAUUCAAAUUCAAUGAAAAAAAUAGUUAAGUUGUCCGAAAAAAUUACGUAAAUUCAUUUUGACCUAUAGUUUCGUUUAUCUAGAUUUUCAAAUUUAAAAUUAUUUGAAUUCAAAAAUUCAUUUAUUUGUCCAAAAGAAUUUAUGUACAUUCAUUCUGCACUAUAUUUUAUUUUGUCUACAUUUUUAAUUGAAAUUACUCGAAUUCAUGCAAAAAUAGUUGAUUUGUCCGAAAAUACACGUACACUCAUUCUGCACUAUAUUUCCCAUCUAGAUUUUUAAAUUUAAAAUUACUUGAAUUCAAACAAAAUCUAGUUGAUUUGUGCGAAAAGUUUAUCUAGAAUAUAAGUAAUUUUCUUAAAUAGAAAAAAGAAUACAUAAGAUAAAUUGUGUUUAUCUAUUUAAAUGUCAUUGUGGCCGGAUGGUUGGCGCUCGCACACGCGGCGAGCAUAUGUGGUCAUAGCUUAGAACCGGUGCCUUCCCAUUUUCUCGUUUGGUUUCUACUUUAACUCGUACGGUUUAUCUUAUAUAAAGCUAAUUGGGCUCUGUAAACAUCAAUAGUAAGGAGGUCAAGUAGCUAUCUAAGCAGGCGAAUCAUAGCAGGUCGUGUGUUUGAAUCCUGCUGCCGCUCUAGCACUUUUCAUUUUAUGUGAGGAUUUUCUGUGUAAAUAAAUAAAAUGCAAGGGUGCUUUUUGAAAAGAAAAACAGUGCACGCGGAUUACCCACUGCCUCAACCACUAACAGUGGGCCCCUGCCAUGUCGGCAAGCCAUGCAUGCACAUGAUACGGUAGAAAGUACCGUAUAUGAAUGGAAAGACAAGUUAGAUGACCAGAAACAUGUAUUUUAGACUACCCAUAGUGAGAGUAACAUAGGUGAUAACAUCACACUUAUCUAGGCAAAAUAGAUGAUGUGUCAUGUAAUUAAUGAAGAAAUAGAGGCAUGUGGUAACAUAGCUAGUUACUAUAACAUCAUACAUAUCAAGAAAAGAUGAGUCUACAACGUAAUAAAUGAAGUGAUGCAUGACACAACACAUGAGGAGGUAGUAACAUAGACUAGUAACAUAUGCAUGUUACUACUUUAAGUUACUCCCCACUAUGACUAGUCUUACAAAUUUAUGCACCAAAUUGACCGUCGGGUACAAGUUCUGUGACUUGCGGUGUAUUUACCUCUUACAGGUUUUGGGCAAACCGACGCACACAUACUGUCUCCACCUUGGGCUUGGCCAGUUUAACACUUUUUCUUGUAAGAGUUCUAGUUUGUUCUCUAUUUCACAUUCUGCUCCGGAUUGUAUUUGGGAGACAUUGUAUGAGUUUAUUACUUAAUCAGUGAAAUGCCAAUGUAAGAAAAAAACGUUUGUCGCACGUCCUCGCAGAGUACAAAUCGUAUGUUGUGGCCCCAGGUUCUUGUUCGACCGGUGCACCCAGUUUUUUUCGCACCACUUUUAGGAAACUUCUAGAAGAUUCCAACUUUGUCUAAAAAAUAUAUAUUAUAUUCCAACUAUGUUUUCUGGAGCUGUUUUCUACUGGUUUAUUUUAGGACGAAUUUUCAGUGGUUUACCAUUUUUCUUUUUCUUUUUUCAUGCAUUUGUAAAUUCGUGAUAUAAUUUUAAAUCAUGCACUUUCCUUAAAUUCACAAAGAUUUUUCAAAUUCAUAAAAAUAUUUUAAAAAUUAAAAUCGUUCCUCUUUUAUUUUUUAUUUUUCAAAAUCCAUGAACUUGAUUUAAUUUCAUGGAAUUUUCUUAAAUUCAUAAAUUUUUCCAGGUUUAUGAUCUUUUUUUCAUUUUUUUGUGAUUUUUUUUCUAAAUUCAUGAAAAAAUUCAAAACCCAUGAACACUUUUUCAAAUGCAUGAAAAAUUCCAAAUCCCUAAUUUUUUUCAUGAAUUAUUGCGUCACAUGAUGUUAUAAUAUAAAUAAUCAUGUCUAGCUAUUUUGCCUGUUGCAAAUCUCCGAAAUGGAUUAUUAUUCGACAAGAUAUGGUCUUGUCAGAAAAUAAUCCAAGUAAUAGUGUCAUUAUCUAAAUUAUUGAUGACACUUGUCGUCAUUAUAUAUUGACAAAAAAUCAAUCCGUCAAGGACAAAUGUGGAAUAAACAUGUAUGAGAACACCAGAGUAGAAAUAUAUGGGGAAAACAACGAUGGAGGGGUUAGAUAUGCAUAUAUCUUAUCAAUUAUUCAUCCGCGUAUUAAAGCACUGUCAACACGAGCUCAAACCUCAUGUCACAUUUUUCUUGAAUCGAGAUGUCAGAAUCGCAAAGCUUUCUCCUUAGCGUACAUCUUCAUAUGCCUGCUUUCCUUCGAACUAACUGUUUGUAUGCUUUCAAAGCCUAGGUCACACAUGUACAGUUUUAUUUUGUCGAUCUAAAGAGGGAGACAUUCGGGGUGGUGAGGUGCCUCCUAUGUUUCAAGAUUGUAAAGAUUGACCGACUGCAUAUCCAAUGGCACACGAGGUGGCUACGUUUUGUAAUGGCGUGAAGUGUGGCCGGGAUUUGUACAACGAGGUUUCUUCCCGCGUGUUAAAACUACUCAAAACUGAUUGUUCAAGAUUUUCUAUUUUUUCCGAACCAAAUGCAACAACACUCGGUAUAUUCAUAAGCUACAACUCAACUAAAGAAUCAUUUACAGCCGAACACUAAAGAUAUUUAGAAUGUCAAAACAACUUCAAUCCUCCUAAUGUAUGCAACAACACUCUGUAUAUUCAUAAGCUACAACUCAACUGAAGAAUCAUUUUCUAGAGGAACACCAAAGAUUUGUAGAGUAUCAAAACCACUUCAAUUCUCCUAAUGUGUAUAUGUUUAUAUGCAUAUCCAUCUUUACUGCACAAGCUCUACAAAUCUACUCCCUCCGUCCCAUAAUGUAACACGUUUUUUUAUACUACGCUAGAGUCAAAAAGCGUCUUACAUUAUGGGACGGAGGGAGCUGUUCAUCAAAAUAUUUAAGAUGUGGGUUUUAGUCACAUAUGCAUUCAUCAAAUUUUUUGUAGUGAUAAUUUUAAUUCCAAUGGAUGUCCGGUGAGACUAAAACCCACAUCUUAAAUAUCAUUCAUAUGUGACUUCAAAUUUAUAUAUUUGCCCAUUAUAAUGUUGAAUAUCAGGUUGCACUUGCUCUCACAUGCAAGGCAGUGUAACUUAUUAGUAAUUUUGGCGGGCUGAAACUUUAGGAGAGGAGCUCCUCGCCCCGCCAUAUCGGGUCAGCGCCGCGCCUCCUCCCCUGCACCGGCUCCAGCUUCAGCCUCUGCCACCGCGAGGCCGCACGUCGCAACUCAACCUCCUCCAUGUCCCGCCUCCCGCUUUGGACUCUGUCACCGCGAGGCCGCAUCCCCACCGUUGCGCCUCAUAGCUCAAUCUCCUCCUUGUCUCGUCUCCAUGCUUUAGCCGCUGUCAGUAGGCUUCCCCGUGCAGCCACGCCUCCGCUCAAGAACCGGUGAGAAAAAAAUAUUUGCGGGGAAGAGAUUUGCAAGAACUGAGGUAAGUAGCUGGCGACAACUUCACUAAAUUGUACUACCAUCCCAUAAAACGUUUUUUACAGGAAUUUUUUUGGGAGCUAUUCGAGUUGCUCUUAUCAUUGCCGAGACGUUUCUCCUAUAAAAUUCAUCUCCCGCCUUAUUUGUUAUUUUACCCCUGUUUGUACUUUCCGUCCAAGUUUAGUGUUGUUGUGCUAACACUCGGGUCUUUUCUUUAUUCGAUGAGUCUGAUUAAUUGUUUUUUUGGGGGCGAGUAUGGUUAAUUGUUAACUUUGAAUGGUGAUAGGCAUAGUGAUUGUUUUGAACAAAUAACUGUAGUGCCUUUGUCAGCAUGUUAGAUAUAGGUCCCUACCACUCACAAGGAACAAGCCAUUUUUGCCAUGUACACGACGGGCCAGUGCCCACAUGUGAAGGACACACCACACCACGAAGCAAGAGGACACAGGAAGAGGGUAAACGUCCCAUGUGAGAAACACCCAGAAAACGGUCGACGCAGGCCAUGUGAGAGCACCGAUCAUACGGGGAAACAAAAGCGAGCGCAAAAGCACCUCACUCCCCAGCAAGAUCGACGUCAAGCCACGCUGGAGUAGUGCAGAAUCUAGUAGUAAUAAAAAGAUAUAUGUCACAAAAAAUAAAGAGCAACAAGUACCAUCCGACCGUUAAUCCGCACUGCCGACUGGCCGUCACCACUCACUUUAUUUUUUGACAGUGGCUCACCACCGCAUGCACACUGCGCGAGUAGUAGUAGUAGUACUGGUUUGGUGGAGAAAUAAAGCCGUCCCGGCCGAGCGCAGCGCAGCAGCACAGUGCCGCAUGCCCGCCGCAUCGGCUCUCUCCCAUGCCAUGCCGCGCCAAAGCGGGACAGCGCGGCCCAGAGCGCCCUGCACGCCUUUGCACGAGCCGCACAGGACGAUCCAUCCGUCGAUGACUCACCACCGCCGCUUGAUGCGAGCGAAAUAAAGCCGUUGGCAUGCGGACACGGCCCGGCUCGUCACCCCGUGGCAAGGACACUGGCGCACGGUCGCACGCCGACGCGUCCAGAGACACCUCUAACUCCACCUCCAGGGGGCGAGCGAACGAACGGCUCGAUGCGGGUUUGUGCGGCCGGUGUUCGCCGAUAAAAAGGGGCCGCGCUCGGGAGCUUGACCGCACUGCACACUACCACACUCCCCACUCUCCCACGCCACGCCGACUAGCUUCCUCCAUUACCCUCCUCCUUUGCUUGCCCAGACCUCGGCGAGGCUCCGGCGAGAGAGCGAGAGCGAAAGCUCCCUUCCGCUGCUGCAAUGGCGGUUCCUCUGGUGCUCAUGCUCUUGGUCGCCAUGUUCACCGGCUCAGGUCAGCGGCCCCGACUACUGGCUCUGCGCAAACAUAGUAGUUUUGCCUGCCUAGAUUGAGUUCCUAGGUUUCUUUCUUUUCCAUGCACUCCCCGGACCUGAAUCUUUCUUGCUCUAGAGCACUUAAUAAACUUUCCUUGUAUGUUCUUGAAAUCUUUUGUCUCUAGAUCAGGGAUGUUGUUGCUAUUUGUGCCCAGUUUCCCCCAUUUUUCUCCAUAGCUGUAGAUAGAAGAAGAAAGAUUUAUUUCCUUGCUAGAUAUAGAUUCGAUUCGAGGGCUUAUUAUUGUUGUUUGUGUGACUGGUGAGGUAGCAGAUGCGAUGUACUGCGUGUGCAAGUCGGACGCGAACCCGGUGGCGAUGCAGAAGGCCAUCGACUACGCGUGCGGCAAGGGCGCCGACUGCACCCAGAUCACCUCCAGCGGGCCCUGCUUCCAGCCCUCCUCCGUCGUCGCCCACUGCUCCUACGCCUGCAACAGCUACUACCAGAAGAACGCCGGCAUGGGCGCCACCUGCGAUUUCAUGGGCGUCGCCACCCUCACCGGCGCCGACCCCAGCGCCGGAUCCUGCAAGUACCCCGCCAGCGCUAGGUAACCACCCUCCCAUCUACUACUACUUGUACUCCCACAUGCCUCCCUCACAUGCUUGCUUGGCUUGGAGCAUGCUUACUACUCUACUAGAUCAGUGAAUCUGUUUAUUAAAGGAUUUGGGGGCAUUUCCCUUUUAAUACUCCUGAUUCGUGUACUUGAAUCUGGGAAGUAGAGCAUCUUAAGCGAAAUGCGGUAUGGGCUCUGACUGACUGCCCCUGACUGGUGUCAUGAGUCGCUGCGCAUAGUUUACUUGGUGUUAUUAGUGCGCCGUAAUCUAGAUUCUUCACACGGCCGCACAUACACCACGUACACACAUGAUAGUUAAUUCAACGGGGCCUUGCUAGUUCAGGGUUCAUGGUUACCAGAGUUACCGAGCGCUACCAGUAUACUGAAGUGUGCACUACCAUGUUUCAGUUUGCAAUAUGCAAACACAAAGCUGAUCUGAAAAAUCAUUGGCAAAAGCUGUCAAAGUAGAUUCGGGGAAUAUGUGCCGUGCCCACUAAUGAUGCACGAAUAUUACAGUACAUCUGCAGCUAAACAACAUAUGCAUCUUCACAUAGUAGUACCACUACUGAUGAACACUCUAGUAGCUGUGUGUUCUCCCUUUGGUACUGUUCUUGAGUUCUUGCUUUGCCCAUGUGAAGCAAAAGGUGUCUGAAUCGGAUAUUUCUAGUCCGAGCUUAAAGGGAGGUCCAUCUUUCUCCGAAUGCCACCCGUUCAAAGUUGCAUUGAACCUGGGCAAGCGCGUCGGCAUCAUUGCAUCUGCAUUAUAUAUGCAAUAGAUAGAUUGGAAGCAACUUUCUCGCUUUUCUGAAGAUGGGACGUGUGAAACAUUUCGCCGUGCAAUGUACUGACUGACCGACGCUGUAUGUGUGCGCUUUGUGUACGUUUCUUUGUGCAGCGGCGUCGGCACUGGAGCAGGCACCGGCACCGGCGGCAUGGGAACCGGCGGCACAGGGACAGGCACCGGAGGCAUGGGAACCGGCACCGGAACCAGCACCGGAACGGGCACGGGCGUCGGCACCGGCACCAGCACCGGCGGCAUGGGGAGCAUGACCCCGCCGGGCGCGACCAGCACCGGGAUGCCGGGGAGCCCCUUCGGCGGCGGCGCGUACGGCCCGUCUGGCAUGAACCAGGACUACAGCGCAGCCGUGGUCGGUCGCCGCGUGGCCGCCGCGGGGCUCCUCGUGGCGGCAGCCGCGCCGCUCCUCCUCCACUUCAUCUGAUGCGGUGGUGACCACUGGUUGGCCGGCGGAAAGGCGCGUCGGCAAUGCUGGCGGGUGCGACGCCGGAUUCGGUGGGCACGCCCCGCCGCUUUUGUGUCCGGCUCGCUCUCUCGCCUGCCUUUCCGGCGUCUGCGUCGUUUUGAUGGUUCGAUCGGACGUACCACGUCCAUGAGUGCUAGUACUCUUAUUAAGCUGACCACCCCAUGUGGUGUUUGUACCGGUGCGGGUCGUGGUAGAGUUGAUGAGAUCUGGUAGGGGAUUCUUUCUUCCUUCUCGUAGCGGUGACGGUGUUCCGAGACAUAUAAUUAUGUGUUGUCGUUCCAACCUCGUCUGUUUCCAUGCCGCUUUUGUGCUGCUAGCUCAUGAUCACCGCGUCUCGUGUUGUCUUGGCGCUGGGCCUG
rnacentral:lncRNA from 1 species